rnacentral:lncRNA from 1 species
AGAGAUGUUAUUGAGUCAGUCGAUAACAGAGAAUAGAAGAGAAAGAGAUUGUCUUACGAAAGGAGAGAGUUGUAGUCAACGGUGAGAGAAUCAGAGGUUGAAGAAGAUGAUGAUGCGUUUGGUCUGAGAGAUGAGAGUCUUGAAGCUUUGGUUGUGGUGAUGGACUGAGGAAGAAGAAGUGUGAGCUUUGGAGAAGAUUGUGAUGAAGGAAGAGGGAGAAGAAUGGUUGGUUUGAUGCUCAUAGCUCCCUGCAUUUUUUACUCUUUUUUUUUUUCUCUUGAUCUUUUGGGUGUGGUUUAGUGAUUUGGAUAUUUGGUUCUGAUUUGGGAAAGUUCAUGUCAUUUUUAUAGCCAGAGCAGAGCUCAUCUAACUUUGUUUUCCUUUUUAUCAUUUUUUAUAUAUUUUGGUGACAAAAGAAAAAAUAUAUGUUCCUAAUAAUAUCAAAUGGGUGAAAGAAUUAAUUAUCAAACCAAAGAAACUCAAUCUUAUUUUAGUAAAUAUAAUUUUAUUGACUCAAUAAUUGAUAGUAAGUAAAAUUAUAUUGACUCAAUAAUUGAUCCAAACUUUUGAAAAGAACAUAAAAAAGUUUGAACACAAAAGUAGAGAUUUUUUAAAUGGAUAAGGCCAGGCUUUGUUGUAACUUGUGAGAAUGAAAAUCACCGGCAAGUUAUCCUCCUCUUUUAGAAGAUAUUUUCUCCAAUCUUUUUGGAUUUUUUUGUGUUGUCUGAGUCAGCACAAUCAUAACUGAGUCUCGUAAUAAUUUUGUCCUAGUUGGUGUAAUUAUGAGAGACUUUAUAUGGUUCCAUAUUAAAAACAACACGAAAGUUUGAGUUUACUUAAUCACCACAUUCUCUGGUUCUUCCUUUAUUCAGAUUUUUUUAGAAGCAAAGCUUAUACAUACAAAUUCAGUAGCGGCGUACACUGGUUGUCGAUAGAAGCACUCGGCUCGGUUUCUUUCCUCUCUUUCCGGGCUCUUUGAUGAUGGAUGGUGCGCUUGGUGUUCUUGAUGUUACAGUAGCGAAUGAUGUUAUGUUUGUGUUUCUUGCACCUGAAAACAUGUUUAGAGAGGUCAUCAGAGUAUCCUACAAGAACGUUCAGAGUGCUAAAACAGUGGUUACCUGCUGUUGCGUUUGUGACUUCACUACUGCUGCUUUGAACGCUUGUUGAUUCGUUAUUCAGGUUGGGAGAGUCGUGGCCAGCUGCAAAACCGAGCCUUGUCACGUGUGAGAAGGAACUUCUCUCUCCGAUGUUUGGAGGGCUUGAUGAUAUUGGGGCAGAGUUUCCAAGGGCUACAUAGGGACACAACAAAAGCUUCUGAUUAGAUCACUAAACCUUAGAUCCAAUUAAGAGAAGAGAGAUUCCUUUCUUUUUUUUUUUACCUUCAAAGUCGUCCAAAGAAAACGGAGGAAAGUCAUCACGAGGGGACUGUAUAAAACUGCCCAUCAAUGGUGCAAGCUCUGCAGCUGCAGCUACUUCAGCUUUGAUUUUAUUUUUUUGAUCCUAAGAAAAAAUACAACAUCAUAAGACUUCUGUAGCCUUAAGUUUUCCUUUUCAACUAGAAUUCAGGGACAGUAAGAAACAAAGUAGGAUCCUUUGCCAUCCCUAAUCAAGUUAAAUACUAAUACAAGGAAAUAAGCAAAACCCUAAGGAGGUUGGAAUAUGAUAAAAGAUUAGGAAAAGAGACCAUGAGCCGUGAUCAUGGUUAAAAAGAGGAAUACCUUCCUAGCACGUUCUUUCCUCUGCUUAUCACGCUUCUUUAUUUCAUCCAUAAAUGGAGCAAACGCGUCAGGAGGCAAUGAUUCCCUCAUAUCAAUCUCACAAAUCUGAAAACAAAUAAACAGGAAAAACCCCAUGGAGAAAAUGUUAGAUAUAGCGACAUGUGCAGAAGAGAGAAUUAAGGGAAUAACAUGUGCCGAUGAUAAGAGGAACCUGAAAUGUACCUGAAAUGUAGUUGUUAAAGAAAAGUGACUCAAGAAGCGGUAGCGUCUCCUUAUCGCUUCUGACUGGGUUACAGUCUCCAUUUCUAGUAUUUUUCCACUCAGUCUGCCGUUUCAUAAAUUGAGAUCAGAAAUCCAUUGAAACCACAAAUUACAGAUGAUAACUAUUUCUGCUGAAUAAUUUUACCUGAAUUCAUUCUAGUACUAAAUAAAAGUUCAAACUUUAUAUCACCGGUUCUUGAUUAAUACACUUUUGAAUCAGCGCAUUUCACAUUCAUGCAGAAAUGAUUACGCAAUGAACAGGGCUUCCAUUGAAACCCAUCCCCUAUGCUUUGAAAUAAGAGAACUACGAUGCAUAAAAGACUCUGACUUUUACCUUGACGGAAGCAAGUCAUAGCUGCCAUAGUGAUGCAGAAGGCAUUUCACAUUCAACGUGUGGAGGAUUAUGUGCUGCCCAUCAACGGACUGUAUAGGCAAACAAUUAGAGCACAAAGGUAAGAGAAAAACUGUGUGUGUUAGGAAUGAAACAUCAAUAUAAUUUUUCUUUGUCAACAAAACAACAAAGAUUAUUGACAACAGAAAUAACACUUCUUUUCAGGAUCUCACUUUAAUAUAUUCACCGCCCAGCACAUAUCAACAAAACAAUCAUCAUGCAGCUGUUAUCUAGUACUUUAUGCAAAUACAAAAGUACCCAUCACAAACUGGUUACCUGAUAAAAGUUAUACGCAUCGUUGUCCUUCAAGUCUUUGGUGUCAUUUUGGUGCAACAAGGGACCUUUACUCCCAUUGUGCGAGGAAGAUGACGGUGCUUCCUGGUCUUCUGGAGAGUGACCAUUAUCACAACUCUUUUCCAAACUAGAUUGAGAUUCCUCAUCUGACUUAUCCACUGAAGAAUCAUCAACUGAUUUAUCUUGAUUGUUGGAGCUGCUAGUUGAUGCUCCACUCGCCCAGCUGGGUGAUUGAUAACCAACUCGAGAACCAUCAGGAGGUGAGAAUGAUGGUGACUGAUUUAUAGUCGUCGUGCUUGAUUUGCUAUAAUUAGAGAGUCUGUGCUCAUUCCAGUACAAUUUUCUCUGCUCCAAACGCUCCAAAGCGGCAUUAACAUAUAGGUGCUUCUCCAAGUCUUCGACGAGCCCAGGAUCUGCUCUUGCAAUCCAACUGUCUAACUCUGAAACUGCUUGUCUGACAGAGAGAUCAACAUCUUGGGUGAAAGUGAACUUUGAGAACGGAUCAUGUAUUCCGUUUUCACCAUUAGGUAAAGCCGGGUCGUACUCAAUUUUCCGGGUUGGAGCAAAAGAGUCUUUCUUGCGAGUCAAAAGUGUAAACUCAAUGGGAUCUCCAACAGAGUACUGCUUGACGUUCUCAAUGUAAACCGUGUAUAACUCUUUUGUCGAAAUCAUCACAAAACACAAAGGACACCUCUUGAAGCAUUCUUCCCUAUGAUUAUCCACACCCAUCAACAGGUACUGUAGAAUACACGGGAAACAGAAAAUAUGCCCACAAGAAGUUAUCUGCGGACAUAGAGGAUACUCCAAGCAAAUCGGACACUGCACAGGAGACGGGGUGGAAUACCUUACACAAAUUAUAUUCUCCCACUGCAGCAUCUUAUCAGGAUCCAUGGAGUCAGGAGAAUGAUCCCCAGUGUCCAACACAACAAACUUGUAAUUUGCCUGAAGAAACAGAUCCUUGUUAUAAGGCCUCCUCUUGUACAUUUGCCUUCUUUGAGGUGGAGGAGGACCCCUAGAUUGUUGGGGCGAAAUCGGAUCAUACUGAAAAUUCAGUAAAUGGUUCCCGCUGAUCAUAUUAGCUCUUCUACCAGUUGUGUUAUGAUGCGAAACGCCUCUAGAAGAAUCAAAAGGUCUCGUAUUAUGCUGCAACUGAGAAGAAGAACCAGCAGCUCCACUAUUUCUCCCUCUGGACCUAUUCCUUCGACCAUCAUAUCGGACAUGGUCACGUGUAUCUGCACUAGGUGGGGAAAAACUCUGCUUCCCUGAUCCAAUUUGCGUCAUCUGCAACGAAGAAACAGAACAAGGUAUCUAAGUUCAAAGCAAACUAAGGGAUUCCAGAUUAUAAAGUAGAAGACUCAUAUUCCACUUAGAAGCAUUUAAGUUUACCUCUUUGGAAGAUCCACGGCUAUGUCCCUCCUCAGCUGCAGCAACCGGUUCUACAGUAUUUAAAAAAUCGAAAUUGAGACAUGGAGUGAGCCAAAAAAGGAUAAAAUCUAAACAAAGCUCGAAUUUUUCAAUGAACCCCUUAAAAAAAAAAAAAUCAAAAUUUGCGGUCCUCAAUGUAGAAAGUUAGAAACCCUAAAGGAAGAGGGGAAAAUCAGGUAGCUGAAUUAUCAAUCCUCUUACCCCGAGAGCCGCCGGAGAAAUCAGCAGUGGGGAAAGAAAGUCCGGCGAGGCUGAGGGAUCCAAUUCGAGAGGAAGGAGAAGAGGGAAGAGGAGGCACAGAAGAGUUGUUGCCAUGCUCAGAGCUUUGGUUUAGAGACGAAUCUGAAGGAGGAGAAGAAAUCGAAUUGUGACCUUGGAUAUGCGAAUGAGGCAAGAUGGACAUGAAAAUUUUAGGGAUGAGAAAAAAAACUUCGCCGGCUCAGAGCCACCGCUUCUUCUGUUUUCUCUGCGUACACUUUGAUUUUUUUUAACACAAGACCAAACAUGUCGCCGUGUUUUUGCCUUUUUCUUUCAUAAUAACAUGAACCGACGUAUACCCGACCCGAAUCCGAAAACCCGACAAUAUGAUUCCUUUCUAGGCGGGUGGAUAUACCGAAUAUUAUAAUUGAAAAUUACUGUAUUAUUUCCGGUUUGUAUUUAUCUAUUACCUUGGUAGUCUAGAGCCUUGGUGGUGAAAUGGUAGACACGCGAGACUCAAAAUCUCGUGCUAAAGAGCGUGGAGGUUCGAGCCGAGAAUCCUUGUUUUCUAGUCAGGCAUCACUACAGUUUGGCACUUUCCAUACUUCGUGGGUGCAUUUCUCAUUUUUAGUUCGAGUACAUAUGUAAAUGUAAUUAAAAAUAAAUUAAAAAAAAAGUUUAAGAAGGAAGACUCGGGUCUUCAGGACAACUCUGAAGACUCCAGGUUUGUCCAGGUUCGUCCGGAUGACAAAAUAUUAUCGGGCGAAAUUUUUUUUUUUAAUUUUUGAAUUAAAAAAAAGAAAAAAAAAGAAAUUAAUAUCUGAUGGAUUCACCAAUGGACAUGGCCUUAGAGUUUGAGCUAAAACCAGCGAUAACCAGCCUAUUGUGGUAAAACUGAAAUCAAAGUAAAUAAAUAUAAUAAUAAUGUUGACGGUUUGGAAUAAAUGCUUCUUUUUUAUUUGCAUUUGGGGUUUGGAUUUACAUUCAGCAAAAUGAUUUUAUGGAAAAAGAAAAACGUUUUAUAUUUCAAAAACUUAGAAACGCAAAUCCAGAGUCUGUACUCCCAACGCAAUCGUCACAGCUACAAUUAAAAGAUGAAAAAAAUGAACGAAACAACGAUCACUGUUGUUAAUUUAAGAUUUGGUUACUUGUGAAAGACUUGUGAAGACUUGUGAAAGACCACAACGUGUGUUACUUCAAAAACCUAUGAGGUUGCUCUCUUUUCACCAACCAUUUCGGUGUGAUUCUCAAACUUGAUCAAGAAAGUUCGGAUUUCCAUCGGAACAAGCUCAACCACUAGCUCCACCGCGUCCACCGCUUUUCCUCUCUUCACCUCCUUCCCGGCGGAGCCUUCUACUUUCCAACGGAGCCUUCUCUUCUCCAUCUCCGCUUUCUCUUGGUUCCCUGACAGACUUGUCUCUUUCACUUCGUGUAUCUGUUCAAACAUUUAAAAAUAACAGAACAUCAUUGUUAUUGGUUGGAAACAAUGAGACAAAUAAAGAGAUGAUCUGUCUCUUCUUUGCCUACCUUUUUGUUGUGGAAAAGUUUCUUUAGCUCCACUUUUGCCAUAACUGAGUAGUCAUUAUCCUCCCCAGCCUUCACAGGUUAACCAAAAAGUGACUCAGCAGAGAAGCAAAACUAUCAAAGUUCAUUUGGGAGGUUUUAAUUCAAAAUUAAUCGACAAUUAAUGGAUUGACCUAAGUUCCUUGAAUAUUACUCUAGGUUCCAUCUUGGUAUGGCAUUUCAAACAAAAACCAAAUAUAAUCGUGGUGAGAAAUGACAUAGCACGAAGAUUAACCGCAUGAUCACCUUUGCAUUUGGCGUUUAGGUACUAAUUCUCUACACUUGUACAAAAGUUUGUUUUUGGUUUUUUAGCACUGAAAGAUUUAGGUUUUAUUCUGCUAUGUAAUGUUAGUUUUCCAAGAUCUCUAAUUAUUUGCUAUCUUAAUCGGAAUCUUAUACUUAGGCCUAGUGUUAAACUACAAGUCUACAACUAAAAAGCAUAUAGCUAUGUAAUUCAUGGAAAUGCAUAUGGAGGACGAGUAAGAACCUCGAAUAAGUGAGCAAGCCUUAAAAGAACUUCCCCGUUAUCCAACUCCUGCAAAUUUUAGAAUUUAAGCUUAGUGUAGUCAACGAAAAAAAAAUGUAUUUCACAUAUUAACAUAAAAAAAAUAAAUCAACUUACCUGGAGGGUGAGUAAUGCGACGUUCUUUGGUAAUGAGUAUAACGGUUCAAACGCUGAGAAUGUAGUCUUAUGUGAAUUAAUCCAAUUAUCUCCUUCCUACAAGCAAAAUACCUUAUCUCACAUUCUCACUUCACUAUCUCAAAGAAGUGAGGGGAAUAGUUUUUAUUUAUCUAAAGAGCAACCUGUUCUGUGAAUGCCAGAAGAAGUGGAGAAUAAAUUUCUUGACCAAAUGUUCGACGCCAUUUUGCCCCAUCUCCAGGUUUGUCUAUCUGUACAUAAAACUUCCCUUGUAUCUGCGAAAAAAUCUCAAACUCUUUUAGGCUAAAAAGAGAAGAUUUGGUCGUAUCUUGGAAACAAGCUCUGUCGCAUUUUCCCUUAAUAGCUGAUACUUUGCAACUUGAACGACUAAAAUUGAGAUGAGAACUUAAGCUUACCGUUAAUCCUUUGCAUCCAUCAGGGAGACAGACUGUUUCAUUAAGAACCUCGCCAACACCUCUAAUGUCAUCAUGACGCAUUCUCCUACACGAAUGAUAACCAAGGAAGGUAAAACACAAGCAAAACAACAUAUACUUGUCUUGUGUAUAUAGAAAAAGUUUAGUCGGCAGACCGAUGAAGCAUCAACUCGAUCUGGCCGUUUUCUAAGCUGGAUCCGCCCACAGCACGAUCCACCAACACGGAUAGCUCUGAGGUUUUAUCUUGCAUGUAUAUCCCGAGAUUUAUCUGGAAGAAAAGAAUAUGUAAGACAAUAAAAGGCAGAUAUAAUGAGGCUCAGUAAAGUACAAAUACUAAAAGACCUUAGUAUAUCACGAAGGAAUCUCAGAUGAAUUUGAUCUUACAGGAUAAUAGUUCCCAGCUACUGGUUGGUAAACUUGCAAGUCCCAAUCUGUUCUGAAGUCCCGGAUCUGCAAGAACAUGUAACAAAGUAUGUUACAAUAAACAAGCAUACAAUUGUUACAAAAUAAAAUAUAUACACUACACACUUGAAGUUUAUAUCUAUACCCGUUUGAUGAAGUCGCGACCAUUAGAGUCUGUGUAAAAUGUUCCAUUUGUCUUCAUGGUGGUUGUAAGUUUUGUGAUAACCUCCUUGCUAAUACCAUCAUCAGCUGGUAUAGGCCCAACCUAGAAAGCAGGAAAUAAGAAGACUGAAAUUGUCUUCAUCAGUUUAGCAUGAAGACAUGAGUGAAGAUAAAGAGAGAUUAGCUUACAGUGAACUCAAUUUCAGCAUGGUCUUUUCCCUUGUACACUCUGGUAAUCUGUAAAUUAACAGACCCGUCACAAGAUAGAUCACACAGUUAUAGCUUCUCUGAUGUAAUUAAAGAAAUCAAUAAAUACUAGCAAGAGAAAAUGACCUGUGAUACCCAGGAGUUAAACUCUUGGUGCACUUCAUCAAACAAAGGUCCCCGAAGAACAGUCAAUUGAGCCUGAGACAGGCAAGACAGUUAGUUUUCUUUCGUACUUUGACAUACGGUCAGGAAAUAAGUUAAUAGGUAUUACCUCUCCUUCAGAUUUAAUUGGACGUUGACCAUCUGGUCGAAAAACGUAAGCUCCAGAAGCCUAAGAAAUAUAUGAGAACCGUUUGAAACACGACAAGAAGAUAGAAAGUAGAUAAGAUUGUAUCUAUUAGAGAGCUGAGCUACCUGUGGAUCCGUGUCAGUUCCAUUGCUUCCAAUGUAAUAAGCAUAUGACUGUUCUGCAGUAACCUUAAAAUUUACCCCAAAUCAAUAUCAGAUCAUUUUCAACUCGAAUGGAAAAGGAAGGAGGUUUAGACUAAAAAAAACGGCACACCUGCUUAUUAUUACUUAUAAAACGAGUCAUUUUCACUCCCUCUUCCGAAUAGUGUAACUUAAGAUUUCCUUGGCCAACUUCUACAUCUUGAUUCAAGCUUCCAGAAGUAACAUAUGGCGCAGAUCGUCCACGCGCUUGAAUCAAGUUAGAAAACAAAGAUGCAAAUAAAUACAAUAUGUCUGUUGGUACCAGUGAGGAACCAAUUGUCAUGGCUAGUAGAGAUAAAAUGCAUGAAAUUCUAUUUCAAGAUCCUAUCAUUCAUAAUUUACCACACAAUAGUACACAUUCUGGAACAUAGCUAACCUGUUCGUCCAGUGUCUGAGAUGACAUACGAGCUGAACCCAAGAGGUGGUACUGAAGCUGUGAAUGCAAGCACAUGUUUUGCAGUUUCCCUUGGUGAUCUUCCCAAAUACGCUUUGACAUACUCCUUUCUUAUUCUCAGUGAGAUGUCUGAAAGAGGUAGAAGCUGAGACACGACUUCUUUCCCAGAUGAAUCUUUCACGAUAACAUUUUCAGACGACACCUGAUAAAGUUAUCAGGUACAUUUGGUAAAUGCUCGAAUGAGUGGGAAAUAAUAUUGGAUAAUAAACAACUAUAAAGUGAGAGCUGCACUAAUCAACGAAGGGGAUUGACAAAUCUUACAGGAACUCGGACAACUUCCUCUCGUUUCCAUCCUAGAGAAUUGUAAACAACAACCACCUACAAGGAGAAAUUAAUGUGAACAGAUAGAACAACUAUCCAAGAGGUGCAACCCAAGACUUCACAGACUGAAAGUAAGCCUGUCAGACAGACUUACCAGGCUUUUCCCGCUGGACAAACGAGCUUCAGAAGGAGGACAGUAACUGAUAUUAAGCAGGGGACACUGCCAAUAUGAUGCACAAGACAAGAAUCAGGCUUAGCCCAUUAGAAUUCAGUAAGUGUUUGGAACUUGAGUCAUUAAAAUGCUAUAAAAUAGAUACUAAUAAAAUUUGUUGCCUGAAGCAACGGCAUCUUCUGAACUCUUUUAGCACGGCCAUAGUAUAUUAUUUGAAUCCUAGAAAAAUCCUAAUCAAGCACGUUACCUGCUGAAAUUUUGUGCUGGGUUCCUUCUCUUCAGUACUUGAUUUUGCUGCUGAUAAAAAGGAAAGGGAAGAGGCAACCAACUUCUCGGCCUAGUAAUGAUCAUAGAGAAAUUUUUAAACUGCUGCACCAACAAGAGAAAAGGGUUGCCUGAAAUCACAUGAGAGGCCUAGUUAAAAAAAUACCUGCAGGUAACCCAUUGAAAGUCUAAGAGCAUAAUCUGCAGCCACAUGCUGUCUUUGGGUACCACUAACUGCAUCAUGGUGUUGAGCAAUUGCCAAAGCAUCAGCUAGCAUAUCGGUUGUUGGUCCUGAACUACUCCUACCUCUCAAGAAUUCCAAUUGUCGAGCUGCCUAUUUAAAACCAGACAAGAUAGUAACCACUGCAUGUAAGAAUGGAGCAAAAAGAAACCACAAAUCUUUAGAAAAAAUUUAGGCCAUACCAGAUAGUAACCACUUAAAUCCCUCACGUAUCUUUUAAAAGCUGGCCUGCUCGUAAAGUACCCUGUCCAGCAUGCAUUAGGUUUGUCCGCAUACCUGGCACAGGUACAUGUCAUAAAUUCUAAUCAACAAGCAUUUCAAUUUUUAGAGAGUAGAACCCGAGCUAUCAUACUUACGGGAAGAAAUCAUCAUUCUUGAGGGGCCACGACUCGUUUGCAGCAUAUUUUGCAUCGGUGUAGAUAGAUGGUGUUGAAUACAGAACAUUGACACGCCCAUCCUGGAUUGUGCAAACGAAAGGGUAACAAAUAUCGGUAUCUGUUUUACCUUGAAACUAGUGAAAUCCAGCUGAUAUGAAUUUGCUAGUAUAAAAAGUCAGUGUACCUUGUUAACAUAAUGAAUAAACUUGUCCAUCUGUCUGAACCACGAAUAUGCAUACUGGUAACGGAAGUCAGUUCCCAUUAACCACAUGAUAUGGUUUGUCCUGGUCACAUUGACCUUGACAAGAGAAAUCCAAGAGAAAAAAUAUGAGACAUAUCAUAGCAGAACUUCUUUUAUUUUUGCUGAUUUCAAGAAUAAAUACCUGAGCAAGGGCUGCAGCUACAAAGUCGUUGACUCGCUCUUGAACAUUGUAGUCAAAAAGGAGAAGAUCAUCCUAUAUUCAAGAUGUUGUAUCAGUGCACGUUCAAACAAAUUUCAAACACAGCACAUCAGGUUCAAUUGCUUUUACCUGGAUAGGAGGUGAAACGUCAUUUAUUUCAAAUGUAAAACCAUCAGGGGGGUCAUAAUGUCUUGGGAAUACACCGGUGAAUAUCUACAAGUAGCAUCGAAUAGCAAUGAGAUAAAGCUAGCUAAACAGUGGAACAAGUAAACAACAGAACUAUAAUGUGAGCUCUAAUGGUCUUAACCUGUGAAGAUGAGCCAAGCGACUUGGAACCUUGCCAAAUAACCUCAAGUGUCUUCUCUCUUAAUCUCUUUGCACGAUCUUGGUAGUCAAUUCUAGCGAAGAAUAGCGAGUCAAAGCCCAACUGCAGAAGAAACGAAAGGGGUUGACCAAUCAAAACAAAUUGAGCUGAUAUAGGCUAAUCAUUCACAUACUGAACUCAUUUUAAAUUCACAAACUAUACCUCUGCCCCAAGCAAGUAAGCUUGUGCUGCAGAAUGUCCAAAGGGAUCGAUCUGCCAACCGACUCUGGGAACCUGACCAAACUCACUUUUGAUAAACUGAUGGCCUAGUGUGGUCUGAUCAAUCAUGUCAAUAUAAUGUGGAGUCGCCUCAUCGUGCAUACACAUUCCACCAUUUCUGCAAAACCGCACAUCAAGACAACGAAAACACCAAACACAUAGAAGACACAAUAAACAAAACAAGAAAAAGGUCAGAGAUCAAUCCAACGCACAUGAACUCCAGUUGACCAGAGUCAACAAGCUUCUUGACCUUAACCUUCUUGGCGUUGCUUUGUUGCCUCCACCAUCUUUGAAAAAAUGCCUAAGACAGUAUUCAGCCAUUACCAAUUGUAUCAGGAAAAAAGCAAAAAAAAAAAAAAAAUGUAUAUCGGAAUCUUACCAUCUCAACAUAAAUGAACUUUCUAUUUUGAUCGUCCAGCAAAGAAGCGAUGACAGAAUCCAAUACAUUCUGAACACAAGCUCCCUGCUCAUUCAAAAUCCAGAACAAAAUUAAUCCCUAAAAAAUCGCAUAAUCGAUUCUUCUUCUUCUUCCAUGGAACUAGAGGGAGGAGGAUGUGAAAAGAGUACCCUAAUGGAGUUAUUGGCGCCGACGUAGUACUGGUCAACGGUCUUAAGCCAACCAACGUCGUCGUGUGAGUGAGGAACCAAGUGAACAUUGAUUUUCUCAGGGACGAUUCUCGGUGUUGUGUUGUACUCUAUGUACUCGGAAUAGACGCCGCCGAUUACAAUCGUCGCCAGAAACAGACAGAGAUAAAAGGAGAUGAAACAUUGGACCGCCAUAGACGCGAGAGCUCUGAGGAGAAGAAGAAGACGAGCGAGAGAGAGAGAGGAUCGUAGAGAGGAUCGUGAAGAUCAAUGUGUAGACAAGUGUUUUUGUAAAGGAAGAAGGAGAGACGCGCGUGGAGAAUCAAAAAGUGACGUUGUUUUCUCACUAAUCUAUAUCACUCUCACUCUUCUUCUGAUAAUUUAUUUAAUUUGUGUACUAACCCUAUUGUAUUAGUAAUUUAAUGAGAGUCAGAGAUAGACUAUAUCCACUUCCUACCAAUCAGAUAAAUAUCAAAAUUUAAUUCAAUAAUAAUGUGUUGAUUAAAAAUCUCUAGUGUUGCUUGUGGGAGAAGUGAUAAAAUGGUCCAUUGAAUAUUUGAAUUGUGUUGAUAACAAAUUAUUGCAAGCCAAAUCGAAUGAUGGUGAUGAUUUUUCUCCUAAAGAAAAAUUUGAAUGAUGAAUUUCCUUUCGAAUUUAAGGCAAAAUAUACAACAUAUUAGGCUGAUUAGCAGAGAGAGGGAUUCGUUGAUUUCAUAUGGAUCGAACUAAGCUGAGCCCAACCCAUAUCUAGUAAAAGGCCAUUCUUGAUGAGAACAUUUGGUCCAGUAUACAACACACAACCUACAGUUAUGCAUGAACCUUGAACCGUUUGAAUUGCCCUCCGGAAAGAAAAACAAAUUCGACAGGGUGAUGUAGCUAGUGUAGUUUGUGGCUUUGUGCUGACAUCAUUAUUAUGCCAUCAUCUAAAUUUAAAUUUUCAUAAUAUAUAUGUUGAUGACAGAAAAGAAAAGACAAUGCAAUACAAUGGGUUACUUGAAAUGUCACAUAUGAAUGAUACAUUUAUACAGAAAAUAUUCAAUCUUCGAAUUUCGAUGUCCUACUCGGGAACAAAGACACCAUUUAUUAUGAAGAAGACAACAAAAUUGCUCAACUAAUUGAUCUAUAUCAACAAUACAUCUGCAUGACAUUAAAUGUAAAUUGAUUCAUUUAGUAUGAAGUGAAACUAUGAAAAUGAGUCAAUAGGUCAUCAAGUCUCUCAUCCAAUUUCAGUUAUAAACAUAUUCUUCCCCAACAAAAGAAAGGCAAAAAUGGGAGGGUGAAAUGUUUUUCAGUUUUCAUGAUUUCUCAAAGAGACCUUUAACAUAAACCAUGCCUUUCUCACUAAGCUGUAGCUCUUUCCUCAUUUCUUCAACCUGUACAUCAUCUCCUUGAACCACAAUCUCAUCCAAUUUCCCUUUUUCUCCCACCAUCAUCUUCACCUUUAUCUCCUCUUUCCUCGACGCCUUUUUCCAGUAAUACGCUCCUCUGCAACACAUCAACCAUCACCAACCACUCACAAACAGUUUCAGAGAGAGAGAUAAAGAUAGAGAGUGAGCUUACGCGAGUGGACUGAGAAUGGUAAUGAAGAACCAAUUGUUUCCAAAAUCAGGGACUGUAAUGGUUAGAACAAGACCCACACUUGCUAAGCUUAUACAUGUACAGAACGUAAGCAAAGCAGCUUGUCCUCUACUUGGAACCAUCGUUCCUUCGAACCUUUUUUUCAAAAUCCAAUAACAACAGUGUCAGUAACCAAACCAAAAACCCAUAUGAAAAAAAUUCGAAUUUUUGUCUUCUUAAAUUAGCUUACGUGAUCGUUUCUCCUCGAUCAGUGAUGUUGAAAUUCUUCCUUGUGAAGAAAGAGAGAAUCUCUCCAGCAACUUGCUUCGGCUCCUUCUUGAUUCCUUCUCCUUCACUAACAACGAACGUCUUUCUCACUAUCUGCAAAAAGAAUCCCUCACAUUAGAUUCGAGCUUCAGAAAUUGGGGAUGAAAUUGGAUUUUUUUGUAAUUCGAAAAAGUUCGAACCUUUGAUUUAACAGAGCGUUUGAUGAGAGACCAAAGACCUGGAACUGAUAUAACGAACAAACCCAAAGACGUGUAGUAGCUAGCCAACGAGUAACCACCACCAGUCUCCGCCAUUAACAGUAAGGAGCUAGGGCUUUGUUCCCACCAUUGAUGAAUCUGAAUCGCCGAUGAAGAAACAGCAGAGAGAGGCUCCACAAUCAUGGCGGUGACGGCGGACACUCUGUUCUUCUUCGUGACACAUCCCCGUCUCCGCCGUGGAAGAAGCCCUUUGAUUACUACAUCUCUUGAAGUCACCCAUGGACAAGACAACGCCGGAGAGAACAGCUUCGUCGCCAUUGUCAAGAAAAAUGCUUCUCAAUGGCUUAAACAAAAAUAAAGCUUAAGCCUUUACAUGAUCGUGUGUGCGUAAAUGAGUCUAUCCAAAAUCGAGUGGUUCUCAUUUUUUCCUUCAAUUUCUAUUUUUCAAAAAAGGUUCAAACGGAUUUUAAUUUAAAUUUAUGACGUCGUUGCAAUACAUAAACUCUGUUUUCUCUGUAACUGUAAGACCAUCUCUGGUUUUGUUUCCUUUCUCAGCUUCAAUCAACAGUAAUGUUUUUUUUUUCAUAGUGAAGUCAAGAUCUGGUAAGUAGAUAAAUGAGAGACCCACCAGCAUUUACGAUUUCACCAUCUACGGAAGAAGAGUCUUUAUCACUAGAUCUUUCCUCCCGACAAAAUCAGACCCAAACAUGAUUUGGAAUCUGUUCAAAGACUGUUUAUAGUUCUGUGUGCCCACAAAGGUUUUAGCAAAACUAGGGACAGUAAUUAAUAGAAAAGAAAGGAAGAAAAAAAAAACAGAGCAUUGAGUCAAAUAUGCAAUAAGUCACUGAGAGUGAGAAAGCAAGAAUCUUUUAGAGACAAAAAAUGAAAAACACAGUUGACUGACAAAUUUCACUACCAAUUGGAAUUGGAGAAUCUUUGAUCAAAUUUGUUGGACCAACUUAGUUGUUAUCUCGUUGGCAAUAAAGGCUAUAAAGCAUAGGUAGGUUGAAGCUAAGGUCAAUUUUUUUCCCAAAAUUGCUACUUUGUACAAAAAGUAACUCAGGACUUUUUUUGGUCCAAACAUAAUAACUAGGGUUCUUGAAACAGAAAGUUAUCAUCUUCUGGCUUCUGCUCGUUCAACAGUUAACUAAAUUGGAAUCUUUUGAUCAAGACCAACUUGGUUUGGUCAACAUUUCCCUCAAAUUAUUACUCCACUUUUAGAGAAAGUAAACACUGUAAUUUAUUGGUCCAAACUUUAUACUGUGUCGAUUUCUGCUUGUGCUACAAAAAAAUGAUUUGUGACAACAACAAACAAAUCACACAACAUUCCACUCUUGCUUCCUUUAUAUCAAUAAAUAAUGUUUCUACAAAGUUAUAUUUUCUGCACUCAUUGUAAAAAAAAUUGCUGAAAAUAACCUCCAAAGGAAGAAAAAAGGUGAAAAAAACAAACAAACAAACGAAUAAUAAUAGCUCAGCUGUUCUUUAUACACUUAACACAAAACAGCUGAUCAGUCUUCAUCCUCUUCAUCCCCUUAAGUUCUCUGAUUAGUUUUGUCUCAGAGAACUUAUAUAUAAAUAUAUAUAUGUAUAUAUAUGUAAAGAUGUUCCUUUUUUCUUUUGAUCACUUUGAUGAUUUAAAAAGCUGACUUCCAAGAGUAACAGUUGGAGUACCUUCACCUAGUACUGUUGUUAAGCUCACUUCUUUGUCCAAUAUUCUCUCCAAUUCUGUCACAACAUAACUCAUUGUUGGUCUCUUCUCACUUGAAACAUCAAGACAGCUCAGUGUCAGUGUAAUAACCUCCUCCACUCCUUCUGCUGUGUAUGUACCGCCUAGUCUCUCAUCGAUCAUCUCGGGUAUAUCCGUGUAAUCUGUUAUGUUUUGCAUCUACAGUUCCAGUGUGUACAAGUGAAAAUUCAAAAUAUAGAUUUCAUAUCGGCAACAUUCUGUGAUCUGGAUUCUAACUCGGUACAUUACUUAAAGAUUGGGUUUUGAGUGUGAUUACAUACCCAUUCAACUAGAGUUUGUGUUGAGCUUGAAGGGGAUGGCUCUGAUGCUUCUCUUCCACUUACUAAUUCCAAAAGGAAUACCCCAAAAGCAUAGACAUCACUUUUCUCUGAAAAUCUUCUGAACUCUUGAACCCUGAAAACGAGGGAGAAAAUCUGAGAAACUUUGAUACAAAAGAGGAAAAACAAAAUGUGAGUCUCAAAAGGUAAAAAUGCUCAAUUUACUCUGGGGAGAGGAAAUUCUGGUCUGCAACAACGUGAGAUGAUGUACCAACAUCAUCUCUUCCUAAGAAAUUACGGACUCCUGCAUCAGCAACUUUAGCAAUGAAAUUUUCGUCCACAAGAACAUUAGCGGUUUUGAAGUCCUUGUGUAUCAAUCGAGGACUCAGCGAGUGAAGAUGUGCCAAGCCUAGAGAUAAAGAAAAAGAAGAUGGUAUAGACAAGAUCAGGACACAAACAAGCUUAAUUCUCAAGGCUUUUGCAGAGAAUUUACCUUUAGCUGCUCCUAUAGAUAUCGCAAGCCUAUUUCUGAAUUCUAGCCUAUUUCCAGGUACUUUACCACCAGCACCUAGUACAAGAAAAGAUCCAAACGAUGCUUACAUUUGUCUAAACUCAUCAGUUAUCAAAAACUGAUCUUUUACCAAAUGAGAAUAUUAGUACUAAUCUCUAUUCAGGACAGAGAGUUACCGUACAGGUGACUGGAAACACUUCCAUUAGGAACAUACUCGUAGACAAGAAACUGCGUGUUGCUUUCUUGGCAAUAACCCAAAAGAGUAACAAGAUUUCGGUGAUGGAUAGAAGAUAGAUAACGAACCUGAAAAAAACCAUUUCCCAAUACCUUGUAAGCCUCUCAAAACACUUUGUUCUUCUAGAUCAUAACCAAACAUUGAACAAAGGGUUUAUUGUAAAACCUCGUUAACGAAUUCUUGCGUAGGCAAACCGGGCCUUUUCUUGAUGGCCACAAGAACACCGUCUUGAAGCAAACCUUUGUAAACCUCGCCGAAUUUGCCUAUGCCUAUAAGGCUUUUAUUGGUGAAACUCUUGGUGGCUUGAGCAAGUUCCUCCAUUUCAAACCUUCUAGCUUCUCUCAUAGACAGCUCAAUUGCAACAUUUCUUCCUUCUGAAAACACACAAAAAAAGAAGACAAAGUCUAAAUCUUCUGAUAUCAUCCAAGAAAGUCAAGUGAGAGAGAGAGGGAGAGAGAGCAAUUGAUGAAUUGAUGGGAUUUGUGGUUUAAAUACCUUGAGUUGAUGGAUCAGAGGAGCCUGUCUCAGAAGUUCUUGACACAUUCUUGCGACGAAAGAUGCAAAACCAUAGUAAAAAAACCAACAGAGCAAUGAAUGCAAGAGCUCCUACAGCACCUCCAAUGGCUGCUGCAAGAAUUGCUGACAUUUGGAAACAAAGUAGCCUCUCUCUUUCUCUCUAUCUCUGCGAUGCUCCAAGCUACUACCAUGCGAUAACUCUGUAGAAAAAACACGAGAAUGUCGGCGAAAAAAAAAAGAGAAGUAGAAGAAGAUGAAGACAAGACAAGACAAAACGAAAAGCAAACAAAGCUUGUGUGGAUAUACAUACAUCUUUUUGUUUAAGAGGUAAAAAAAAAAAAACAAAAGGUGUCAACUUGUAAAAUUAAUUAGGAUUCUUUUGACAAUCAAUCAUUCAAACAUGCAGUAAAUAAGAUUCAAAAGAGAUAGAGAGAAGUUUCAUUACAAAACCUUGAUAGAUCUCCAGGAAAACUCAACUUCAUCGGCGGAUAAAUAUCACAACAUCAAGAAUCGACGGCGUGAUUCCCCACGUUUUGUUCUCCAACAACAUUGAAUGAGAGCGUGAGCAAAUUUCCUUAAUCGGCAGAAUCAAGAAUCGAACUGUUUUUUCUUUGUUUCUAUUUUUAAUCAGACACAGAGAAAAAUGAAAACACCAACAAAAAACCAGAAGAUUGGUGUGAAAAUGGGAAGGAGAAUUGAAGAAGAAAAGGAGGAGCUUUGGAAAAAUCAAAUCUCCGCCGCAGUUUCUAGAACUCGAAGGUAAAGGGAAGAAGAAGAAGAAGAAGAAGAAGAAGAAGAAAUUAAGUUUUGUGUCGGAACGCAGACAAUGCCGACAGAAAGUGACAUCGCGCAGACAACAACUCUCUCUCUCUCUUAAGACUGGAAUUUAUUCACUCAGAAACCACAACAACAACAACAACAAUCAAACUAUUUACCAACGAUUUUUAUUAUUUUCAGUUCAAGAGAUGACUUUUCGAAUUGACAUUUACAGAGUUUUUACUCUUCUCCAACCACCAAAAACCCAUUGUUUAAUUUCGGGGAAAAGAGGAAUAAAAAGAGAACCUUUGAAGACAAGAGAAGCACAAGUGGGUCACUUCGCCAGUUUGCAAUUACAGCGAAAGGGAAUUUUUUUUUUUUUGUUUAACUAUAAAGAAGAAGAAGAAUGGAAGAAACUAAAACCGCCGUGAAACGCUGUUUCCGCCGCCGUAAGUUUGAAGAGACGAACACACACACACACACACCUCUCUGUCUCUGCCUUCUCCUCUUUUAUUUUACUCCGCAAAUCUCUCUGUUUUUUCCUUCUUUUUUCUUUCCUUUUUUCGCAUGUUUUUUUCCUCCUUUAAAUGGGUAAUUUCUACUACUUCAAUAAAUUAGUCUAGAGAUAUUUUUUUUUCUGAAAAAUUAAUAAGCAACAAAUGAUAGAUGGGGGAAUUUAUAACCAAACAGAGAUCUAUAAUUCUUAGAAUUUGUAUUUUCUAUCAAUCAGUUUACAAUUGGAAUUUGUACUGUUUGUCAUUAUUCUUUUAUUCUCUUAUGUUUCUUUCACAAAAUGAUUAUGUCACUUCAUAAUUUUUAGUACAGUUGAAUUAGAUGUCUUAAAACUUUUUGUUGAUAAUAUGCAAUUGUACUAAGAGAUAUUAAUGAUACGGUUUUGUGAAAUCGAGGCAGAAACAUUUCACGAUACUUUUAAAAUCAAAGAAAUUUGGAAUGCUGCAAUUUUUUUAGUUCAGUCAAAAAAUUUCACUUAAACAUUUCACCCUCUUAAUCAUGACACAUUUUCAGACUGUUACGAAUUAUAACUUGAACGCAACCACUAUAAUCGAGAGCGACAUAUUUAUAUUUAAACAAGUACGAACUACUGUCGUUUUAACUAGUACUAGUAAUGUCGAGAAAGAAAAAAAAAAUUGGUACUAGUAUAAAAUAGUCCUGAUUAUAGAAGAAAAUACAUAAUUAACGUUGUUAUUAAUGACAAAUAGAAAUCCAGCGAACAAACAUUCAUAAUAAUAUUCUUUAAAUAUAAAAUUCAACAACAAACUCACUUUUACGAAAAAAAAAAUUAGGAGUAGGACCACAUUCUACAUCGACAGAGUAAAAGGUGGGGUCAAGGGACCCACAAGCCAGCUGUAUAGACAUUUGCUUCUACUUCUACUUAUAUACCCGUUAGUUUACUGACGCUAACGUUUCAACUCACAUUUCCACGAUCUGCGUUUCGCGUUUAUCUAUGUAUCACUCUGCGUUUAACGUUUGUCUUGACUUUUUAUUUCAUUUCUCUCUCUCUUCUUCACAUUUUUUUAAAGAAAAUUGAAAUUUUGAAACGAGACCAAUGAUUGAAGCGGCGGUCGUGGUCAUCAUGAAUAAAUCAUACAAAUUGGAAAUGAUUGAAAAGUGACUCAAAAAUAAAUCAAUUGUAGUCUGCACCAACCGCCUCUCUAUCCAUUUUAAAAGGCCCAUUAUAGCCCAUUAAUUUUUAUUGUGCGUUUUAAUCAAUCAUAUCAUGAUACCUGGGCUUUCUAGCCAAUUUCCUUGGCUCGUUUUUGGAUUUGUUGGAAAUUGGAAUAUACAUCUAGCCUCAUGUGUACAGUAAUUUAGAGAAAUCACUUCGGAACACAUAUAGAAUCAAGCACUUUUUUAUAUAUUUUUGAAAACAUAUUCUGAUAUUCAAAAGAAUGAAAAAUGUUUGCACUCGGUUCUUUUAGAAGUUUAGGAGUACCUACAAAGGGGUAGGACAAACUUUUUUUUUGUGUGCUAAAAUGACAUUCUUAAAAAUUAAGAUUAUCUCUGUUCAAAUCCGUAGACAUGUUAAACUUAUCAUAUUCUCACCUACCAUAAAACAUUCAUGAUACUAAAAAAAAAUGAAAAAAAAAUGUCUUAAAAAAUGAAAAACGAUUUGGAAAAAUGAGUAUGUAUCUUGUAAAUAAUGGUUUUCACAUCCGGACAUCUUAUGAUUCGCUCUUGACUUGUCUGUCUAUCAACUAAUGAUAUUAAAAACAAGUAGGAUAUAAUACUCAAGUGUCCCCAUAUCCAUUAAACCAGACCCUCCAUCCAGUAUAAGCAUGGACCAAAUAUAUCUUGUAAAAUCUAACUCAAAAGUUAACUAACUACUACUACACCAAUACACCAUGAUGUUGAGUCAACUAUUGAGUUAACCAUUUCUAAAAAAAAACAUAAGUUAAAACUGUAAAUAAACUAUAACACAUUAUAACUCAAACUCAAAUUCUAAAGUUUUAGUUUGAACUGAGACUUAACCAUGACUUGUAUCAUUAUCAUGAACUAAAAUGUUUUCCUAAUGAAAGUUGGUAACACUGUUUCCAAUUUUGGAAAUAUAAAGUAUAUUUUAAAUAUGAGAAACGUGAGAUAGAGAUGAGUGGUUACUAAGGAAUUGAAUGCUCCUUCGUCAGCUCUUAAAUUUGUCCCCGGAAAAAUCUCAGCUUUUCCUUCAUUUCUAUAGAUGGCAAACAAACCAAAACGGUUCCUUUCUUUUCCAUUUUUUUUUUGUUUGGGUUUCAGCUUUUUCUCUCUCUCUCUUUCUCUCUCUGGUUGGUUCUUUUGUUCUGAGUAAAAACCAGAAAAGAUUUAACUUUUUUUGAACAAGAUGAUUCGCCAUGGAAGCUACGGUGAUGUUUCUUGCUGACAUCAACAACAGACAAAGACAGGAUUUUUUUUUGUCAAAGCUUAGAAGCUGCAUUUUUUUUGUAAAUAGCUUUUCCUCUUCUCUCUGGUUUUUUCUCUCGAUUUCUUCGUCUUACAGAAAAAUUUGGGGUUUAUUUUCAUCUUGGCAGGUUUAUCAAAUGUCGAAUCUUUCAGCACGAACAGGACGAGACCGUCAACGUUAUGACAACAACUUCCGCCUCGUUUCUGGGUAUAAAUUUGGUUUUUUUUUUUUUUUACAUCUCCUUUAGCUUCUUGUGUUGACUUUAUUAAUGCUUGGAAUCGUUCUUGAUAUGAUGUGAUGAGAUUUAUUUGUUUUUUUUAAUUAAAUUCAAUUUUCAAUAUUGGAAAUCAAAGAGGCAAUAAUUAGAAGAAAUUUGUGUGUUGAUAUGAUGACAGAUGCAUUCCGUAUAGGCUGAUGAAAGAUGAAGAGGACUCAAGUGUUGACUUUGAAAAUAGGCUACAAGUUCUUAUGGUUUCAUCUCCUAACCGACACGAUCUUGUCUUCCCAAAGGUUUCCUUUUUAAAAAAAAUAUAUAUUUUCCCUUAAUUAUUUGUUGGUUUUGAUGCCUCUGAAACUAGAUGCAAAAUGUUACAUAUAAAUGACUUUGUGUAUUGUUCAGGGAGGAUGGGAAGAUGAUGAGACUGUUCUUGAAGCUGCAUCUCGCGAAGCCAUGGAAGAAGCAGGAGUUAAAGGAAUACUAAGAGUAUGUUUUCUGUCUCAACACAGAUCCUUCAUCGAAAGUUGUUGUAUAGAUUUGUUUCAAUAUUGGAUCUGUCUUUUUCUAUAGGAAGAUCCACUAGGAGUUUGGGAAUUUAGAAGCAAGAGUAGCAGUGUGGAAGCUGAAUGCUGCUUAGGUGGUGGAUGCAAAGGUUAUAUGUUCGCGUUAGAAGUGAAGGAAGAACUUGAGACAUGGCCAGAGCAAGAAAACCGCGAGAGAAGAUGGGUAAAGCGCAAAUGUUUGCUUUUGUUUUGCAUCAUAUUUAUGUUUAUAAAAUUACUGAUAGUGGGGUUUUGUACAAUGCACAGCUGAAUGUUAAAGAAGCUUUGGAACUGUGUCGGUAUGAGUGGAUGCAGAGUGCUCUUGAAGAGUUUCUGAGAGUAAUGGCAGAAGACGGAAGGCCAGGGGGAACACAAGAAGACCCUCUCGCCAUUUCCAGCAUUUCAAAUCGAGGAGAUCGUCAAAUUGAUCCUCGGUACUGCUUUGUAAAUUGUAGUUAAUUAGUUACAUUUCUAUUAGGCAGAUAAAUACUUAUCAACUGUUAUUUUUAUAUAAUAUAACUUCUGGAUUGUUGAAAAGCUUCUUCUGUAAACAAAGUUAAAACAUGGGAAGCUAAUGAUUUAAGACCCAAUUUGUUCCAAAGUUACCUAGAGAGACUUCUGUUAACUCAUAGGAUCCAUAGUUGUAGAUGCUCAAUGAAACAACCAAACACACGAGAAUAACAUUUUAAGAGUUUAACACUCACAGACCAAUGAUGAGGUCAACAACCAUUGCACAACAGAAAAGACAUUGGCUUGGAAUAUUUUUACACAGCCGAGUUAGCGGAGCUAAAAUUUUUGUUGUCUAGAAACUUAAUGUAUUAUAUAUUUUUCACAUCGCUUCGAAAAAAUAUCAUUCAAAUAAUCAACAAUAACAAAAGUGUGCAAAUAAAACAAACAUAUUUUUGUUUUUGAUUUAUUGUACUUUAAUUAGUAAGUAUACAGAAAAAUUACAGUAUAUAUGAUAAAUACUUUAAAAAUAUUUUCUUAUAAAUGAUUAGCCUUACAGAAAAUAUGAUUUCAUGUGCUAAUUUGUUUAAAAGAGUUAGAGUUCAAAUCUUAUAAACUUUGCAUAAACUGGUAAAAGUGUAAGAAAGAAAAGAUGUUACUGUAUUUGUAUAUACUAACUUUUAGAUAUGCUAAUAUUAUGUGUAAUAUGUUUACAUAUUUAUGGAGUAAACAUCUAAAAUUUAUAAAUGAAUAUAAGUGAUCCCAAGUUAAAAAUGUAAGUAAAUCAAUUUGGGCAUCAAAUUUGAACCGAUAACUGAACAAAAAGAAAAAAUUAUACAGUAUCAAAUUAAGUAACUGAACAAAGGGAAAAAUUAAUGGGGAUAUAAAUAUAUUAUUUAAUAUGGGAGCAAGAAUUAUUAUCCUUAAAAGUUUACACUAGUGAUUUUUUUUUACUGGGAAGCUGAUCCAUUCCCAACUAACGUGGCUCCGCCACUGGCCGAGGAUGCUACUCAAUAUGCUACUGCAUUCCAUUGUGUCUUUGGGAUCUUUGGCAUCUUGGUGUGAAGGAACAACAGAUACAAAAACGAGACAAUAAUAUGAUGUAUCUUCGGAGUUCUCUUCUCAGCAACAAACCCAAUCUCCCUCUUCUUUCAUCUGAUUUGGUUACCUUAUUCCCUCUUUGCAUUGUCUACUCUUUUGCUUCUCGUGUGAACUGCAAAAAUACUCUUGACGCUAAUCCUUCUUCUAGGUAAAGAGAAGUAAAUGUAGCAUAAAGAAAGUGUUGUCUCUCUUUAUACUCUUUUCUAUCCCAACCAUCAUAACUAAAAGAAUUAACUUGUACCAAUAUCCAAGAUGUUACAAGAGAAUAACUAAGAAUAAGACUUCUGGAUUAAAUCCUUCAAGUAAUUCAAUUCUACUACAUUCGCCAGUAGUAAUAUCGAAAGAUGUCACAGAAGCAUCAAGCAACCGUUAAAAGCUUCAAUGAGAAACAUUUUUGGGAUUCAGAAACUGCAUUAAAAAAAUAGAAACAGUAUUAUAGAUAGAACAGUCAAAGCUAUUGAUUUUCUUACCAACAGGAUGCAAUCAUCUAUCAACCUAGAGUUGAAUCUUAGCGUCUGAGCCAUUCUCUGAAACAUGACUGCAUUUUCUCCCGACUUCCAGCAUUUGAGAUAUUCACUGUAGGAAUAAUCUUGUCUGGCUUUAAAAACUGUGUAACAAAUAAAUCAGUUAAUGCGUAAAACUUAUCCAGGACAGAUACAGGUAGAUAAGAACAGCAUUCAUGGUACACACCUGAACAAACUCACGAAGUUCUGUGAAGCUUGAAUGCUCACUAUAUGGAACCCCUAGAAAGAUAACAAUCAAUUAGACAAAUUGAAUAGAGCUGUGUGCAUUAUAUACAACCACCAAAAGCUCAUAGAGAAUGUGCAUUACAAAAAUCAAACUCACCAUAAAUGGUGAUUUUCCCCCUUGAAGUUGGUUUUAUCAGAUCAAGGUGUUCACCUAUCUUCUCAGAGUAAGUCCAGCCUGAGAAAAAAGAAGAAAAACUAACCUUACUUUUCGUACCCAUAUAGGUUAAACAAAAACCUUAAAAAAGAAGCAAAAAUAGUUCACCUGUGGGCCUAAAUGCCAAAACUGCUCCAUACUGUUCUCUAUAAACCUUUAAGUGUUCGUCGAGUCUCUUCAUAGAAAUUAUUAGACAGAGAUAAGAUCAUGAGAAUUUGACAUAAAAACUAUAAAAUAAUAGUUGAGAUAAGCAUCUUGAUUUUAAGAGAAAUACUUCAACUCUCAGUGCUGACAUAGGCAGAACAUGAAGACAUGUGGCUUUCCCAUCUGUACAAAGAUUCUUUGAGAUAUCAUCCCAACCAAAAGAUUGGAGUAUCCGUCUUCUUGAAGCAUUUGCAAAUAUCUUGAUCUGAAAAACCCACGAGGUCAGAAAUUAAAAGUCUACAAAAGAUGACUAAAAAAAAGAGAGAGAAUGGCUCCAGCAAUUUAUACCCCAAGUGCCUUGGCAAUAGCUAGAUAAACACAUUCUUUUCCAAUGCUAUAAGAACCAACAACAAUCAGAGUCCUCGGUUGCUUCCUGAGGAACUCCUUUGUGAUUCUCACAACAUAACUUAAUACAUCUUCUUUGGAGGGGAAUCUGAACAAAACAAAAAAAAAACAUAACAAAAAAACAGGAAUAAAAAUUUACGAGCAUGCUCACUCAAAAAUUCAUCAUAAGUUAUAAUAUUUUGAAAAUUCCUCUCACUUGUAUCUCGGAUUGCAAUAUGUUGUAUCCAAAUACAGAACAUGAACUCGUUGUUUAAAGAGGAGAGGAUGAGUUUGCAUCUGUUUAGAAGCCCUGAAAUCUCCAGUAUGCAGAUAACACGUCCCAUCUAGGAGACGAAAGUGAAUAAGAGCAGCACCUGGACAGUGAUUAGCUUCAAUUAAAGUGACUUUAACCCCAUAAAUAGUGUAUUCUACGUCUAGCUCCAAUGGAUGAAUAAACCUGCGCACAGAAAAUUCACCAGACCAAAAAUUCAAUACACAAACUUGAUGGAUGUAUUCAGACAUAGAUGGCAUUAGCAAAGAGCUUACGAGGGAUUAACAGACAGACUAAGUCUGAGAAGACGACUAGUGAGAGAGGAGCAGUAAAUUGGACCAUGAGACCAAGCUUUAGUGAGGCCAAUGUAAUGAUCAGCGUGAAAGUGAGUAAGGAAAUAAGCAGAACAUCCUUGGACACAACCAUAGCGAAAGGCAUCCACAGUGAACGGUGUUCCUACAGAAAUGGCGCAAAAUUGGCAAACAGAGAAGCAGAUUUGAACAUAUGAAUGCGAAAAAGAAGAAGAGGAGCAAGACCUGGAAGUUUCUUGUAAAAAGGGCAUUGUCGAGGCGAGUCAUUGGUCAAUGGAGAGUUCCUAAGUCUCUUUCCAAGAACAUUCGAAGUUUUUUUCGCCGACGAAGAAGCAGGUGAAGUGGAAGGAGAAGGCUUUUGUAAACCCCAAAUCUGAAACAAGUCUGUUUGUUUCAUAUUCUUCUUCGUUUCAGGAGAAAUCUUCUGUAAACCCCAAAUCUGAAACAAGUCCGCUUGUUUCAUCUUCUUAUUCUCAGGAGAAACCAAAGCGGUCUCUUCGUCUUUCACUAAACAAGACCAAUCGGAACCAGCCUUGUAGAAAUCAGACGCAAAACCCUCUUCUUCUUCAACGACAUCGUCGUAGAAAGUAAAACCCUCUUCUUCUUCUUCUUCUUCUUCUUCUUCGUCGUUGAAACGAGAACCAAAACCUUCGUCGUCGUCUUCAUCGGAAACAUCCAUUUUCUUUGUUCUCUCUCAGACAACGAAAGGUCAAAAGGGUCAAUUUUGCGUGCGAAUGAAUAUAGUUUACGCGCCCGCCAAAGGGAUGCUUUUGGCCAUUGAGUGUCGUCGGCUAGAGAGAGAGAAAGAGUAAAAAUGGUAAAAAGCCCAAAACAAAACGUGAGGAGCAGCAAGAAGACAGAUCAACACAAAGGGCCCAACCACAACGUCAUUUUUUAAUGAUGGAAGUUGCUAACAAUUGAUCGGAUCUCAUCAUCGUCGACUUCCUUCCUUUAACCCGUCACCGUCGUUGGGAAUUUCUCGGCGAUUGGGUCUUCCUUAGAAAAAUCAAACCUUUUUUGUUUAUAGAAUUUUCGAUUUGCGAAAAGAUUCAAUUUUUAUUCUUCCUUUUAGUCGACGCCAUUUUGUUUGGUUAAAAGCUAAACCUCACCAUUUUCAAUUCUUAAAAAAAAAGAAAAACUAAAUAGUUUUGUUGGGAGAGGAGGACUUGUAAUCUGCUCUGCUGUUAGAAUCAAUCUGGAUCUGAAGCUCUUCUAUCUUCUCGUCGCAGGUUUUGCCUCCUUAAUUCUAAACACCGAAACUCCUUGUUUUUGCCUCUCUCUGCUUUCGUUUCCCGGUUCUGUAUUGCCGCAAUUUGUCAAUUUGAUCUCCUUUUGAAUAGAUUCAACGAUUGAAGAACCCCAUUAUUCCUUCUCUGAUGAAGUUUAAGGGUUUUCUCUUUGUUCCUUAUCAAAGCUGCAAGCUUGCGUUUCUUUUCCUCUCUUGCAACUUCCUUAGGUUUUUUGCUCAGAGGGUUCUUCUCUUCCAGGUUCGAAGGCUAGUAAGAUCACAUGAGAGCCUGAGCUAGAGAUUGCCCGAGUUAGAUGAUCCGUAACUGAGCUGUCUGCAUUCUUUAACGAUGGGAGAGUGGGUCAUCGGAGCUUUCAUCAACAUUUUUGGAAGCGUUGCUAUUAAUUUCGGCACAAAUCUUCUCAAAUUGGGACAUAAUGAGGUUUGCAUUUGCCUCUGGCACCACUGUUUUGGUUACAUUUGAUUUCGCGAAGCUUACAUUGUGUUGACUCUGUGUAUUAUCAGAGAGAAAGGUUAGCUCUACAGGAUGGUGGCGGAGGAAAGACGCCAUUGAAGCCGAUUAUACAUUUUCAGACAUGGAGAGUUGGUAUGCUUUGGUCUUAAACUUUUUCCCCUUUGAAAUUUAUAUAAAGCUGGUUCUGAGUCCAAUGUUGUUGGAAACUUACAGGGAUCCUUGUCUUUCUUCUUGGGAAUUGCCUCAAUUUCAUUUCGUUUGGUUAUGCUGCUCAGGUAGAGUGAUGUGUUCGACAUUGCCUACUUGCGUGAUUUGUCAGAUUUAGAUGGUUGUGUUACGGUUUCUCUUUUGGUUUUCUUACCUUCACGCUCUCUCUUUGCAGUCCCUUUUAGCAGCUCUUGGAUCCAUUCAAUUUGUAUCCAACAUAGCGUUUGCUUAUGUUGUAUUAAACAAAAUGGUCACUGUUAAGUACGUAAACAUCCUUUCGCUGCAAUCUUUAGCUAUACCAAUUUACUCAUUCCUCACUCUUCUUAUUUCUUUGGUAUGCCUUGGUCACAGAGUACUCGUUGCUACAGCCUUUAUAGUUCUUGGAAACGUUUUCCUUGUAGCAUUUGGUAAUCACCAAUCACCAGGUAAAGUAUUCUUGAACAGAAGGUUUUGGUUUAGUGUGUUUCACAAAGCGUGACCUAAUGCAAAUCUUCUGUGCUCAGUAUUCACUCCCGACCAGUUGGCAGAAAAAUACAGCAAUGUGACAUUCUUGAUAUACUGUGGGAUUUUGAUUUUAAUUGUAGCCGUGAACCAUUUCCUCUAUAGGUGAGUCUUGCACUUGAAAUUGUAGUCUCGCUGCUCGUUUUCAACUAUCCGCGCUGAUAUGUUUAAUUGAAAUAUUCAGGAAGGGAGAAGUUUUGAUAUCUGUACCUGGACAAGAGAUUAGCUCCUAUUGGAAAAUGUUGCUCCCUUUCUCAUAUGCUGUGGUCUCCGGCGCUAUAGGAUCAUGUUCGGUUUUAUUCGCCAAGUCACUGUGAGUUUGUAGAUCUGCUGGCUUUACUUGUCUAAGCUGAUAAGUUAUGUAUAUGACUUCAAGUGGUAAUUUGAGUUUCAUCUUGCAGCUCAAACUUGCUGAGAUUGGCCAUGUCUAGUAGCUAUCAGUUGCACAGUUGGUUCACAUACUCUAUGCUUCUCUUAUUUCUUAGCACAGCUGGAUUCUGGGUAAAGCCUUAAAAAUAAUGAUGUUUUUGUCUUCUUUGUUGUGCCAUUGAGACGAUGAAGUUACUAAAGUAAAAAUGUCUUUUUAUGUGCUUCUUGCAGAUGACAAGAUUAAACGAAGGGUUGUCACUAUAUGAUGCAAUUCUCAUUGUUCCAAUGUUUCAGAUUGCUUGGACUUUUUUCUCCAUAUGUACAGGAUUCAUCUACUUUCAAGAGUUUCAGGUUCAUCUAUUACCUUAAUUGGGAUGCUUUUUUUCUCUACUUGGGCAAAAACAGAUCUGGAUAAUUAGUUUGGUCAUUUUUGUACUGGAUUGGUAUGAAUGUGGGCUUAUUGUCUUCUUACUCUAAACAGGUUUUCGAUGCAUUAAGAACGACAAUGUUCAUAUUAGGAAUGAUGUGCGUGUUCAUAGGCAUUUCCUUACUAGCACCUGAUGAUACAAGAGGCAACGAGACGAAAGAAAAUUCAUCAUCUCUAGACUCCAUAGUGUCCUCAAGCGUACCAACUGAGGAGGACAGGUAAAAGAACAUGUUCUUGUUAAAUCGUUAAAUUAAGAAGUCAUUCAAUAAUUUAGCUAUUAUUGACAUUUUGAUAUUUUAUAACAGGUUGAUAUCACAAUCAUCGGAAGAUGGACACAGCAAAGACACAAGAGUAGUUGUACAAGGAAUGUAUAUGAAAGCAGCUGACCUCAUCGCCAAGACAAAGGUAUCCACAAAGCAUGAGUAUCUUCACUGGUAAGCAUUAUCAACAAUACUAAAACAAAAUGUUUUGCUUUUUUUGUGUGUGUGUGUUGCAGAUUGCUUGUUUAGCGGCAUUGGGCUUUGGCGAAGACUCUAUAAACGCAUCUGCGAUACUCGUGAUGCCUAUGGUAUCUUCAAAGAUUACAGGGUUUAGAGGAAACGGUCUUGAACGGGCAAAGAUUUUGUCCAUGAGAGGAUCAGGAUGGAGCAAACUAGCCAUGGAAGAAGAAGGAACAAGAAUGCUUGAAAAGACAUCUCAUCACUCUUCAAAGGCGUAAUUAGUUAGUAAAAACAGAGAGCUAUGAGACAGAUUCUCAGGUACAUUCUUCUCUUGUCAUAUGGCUUUAGUAGCAAAAAUCUGUUUUUAGGAUUCCAUUAAACAAAAAAAACCAUUACACGAUUGUGUAUUCUUGCAAAAACCCAAAUGUAUUACAUAUAACAUCUCUGUAUAUUAUUAUCUUUUGUUUGAGACCUGUUAAAAAGAGUUUCAUAUGUAGACAAGUCUGGAUCGAGUUUAUCAUUAUUACAAAUCCACAACUCAGGCUACAAUUAUACAGUCUUGACCGAUAUUUUGAGAAUCACAAUGUAAAAAAAGAGAGCAAAAAAUGAAACAAGUUGAUUCCAAAAGUUACAAAUCACUUCCAGUUGUUGGCAACAAUGUCAGCCAAAUCAACAACUCUCUGUGAGUAACCCCAUUCAUUAUCAUACCAAGCAAUCACCUUAACCAUAUCGUCUCCCAUAACCAUAGUGAGUGAAGAAUCAAUGGUCGAGGACACAUCUGAGCAUCUGAAAUCAACGGAAACUAGCGGCUCAUCGCAGACUUCGAGUAUACCUUUAAGCUCUUUCUCUGCAGCAUCUCUGAAAGCAGCGUUAACUUCCUCUGCGAAAGUCUUCUUUGAGACCUGCACAACGAGAUCAACCACUGAUACGUUUGGUGUUGGUACACGGAGAGCGAUUCCAUUGAGUUUUCCCUUGAGGUUAGGAAGCACAAGAGCCACAGCUUUAGCCGCUCCUGUAGAUGUGGGAACAAUGUUCAACGCAGCUGCUCUUGCUCUCCUUAGAUCACGGUGGCUCGCGUCUAGCAACCUCUGGUCACCAGUGUAAGAGUGAGUAGUUGUCAUUGUACCCUUUAUGAUACCUGCAUUGUUACAAACACAUUAAUUCACGUUUCAUGUGAUCCCAAAAGAGGCAGAGGAAAGCAGAACUAUUAUUGCAUACCGAAUUUCUGGUCAAGAACUUUGACAAAGGGAGCAAGACAGUUAGUAGUGCAAGAUGCAUUGCUGAUGAUCGGUUCAUCGGGAUUGUAAGCAUCGGCAUUGACACCAACAACGUAAGUUGGAAUGUCUCCUUUGCCUGGAGCGGUAAUGAUAACUUUCUUGGCUCCAGCUUCAAUGUGUUUCCCUGCACCUUCUCUAUCCACAAACACUCCGGUUCCUUCGAUGACAAUGUCGAUGCCUAACUCCCUAAGAAACCAUCAAUCACCAAACUUAGAUUUUGGAUAAAGACUGAUACAGAAUUUAGACACAGAACUGCUUUUUUGGACUUACUUCCAGGGGAGAUUAGACGGGUUGCGGUUAGACACAACCUGGAUAAUCUUUCCAUCAACAGAGAGAGCAGCGUCUCCAGAAGGUUUCACAUCGGCGUCAAAGAUUCCAAGAGUAGAGUCGUAUUUAAGGAGAUGCGAAGCCUGCUUGACGCCUCCGGUGUCGUUUAUGGCAAUGACGUCAAGAGGAGAGUCCUUGCGGCCAUGCCAGCAUCUCAAGAAGUUUCUCCCGAUCCGACCAAACCCGUUAAUGGCCACCUUAAGCUUAGCCUCAGUCACACCUUUCCUGUAUCCACCACUGCUUCCCAUCUGAGACACACACACACAUACAGAACCAUCUAAAUGGUUUACAAAACAGCGAAACAGAGUCUCAUCGCAGAAUUUACACGAUCUAUCAACAUUCAUGCUAAUUCUUAGUAUAAGCAUGACAUAGUUGACGAUCAGUAACAAUGGUGUAGAGGAAUGAGACAGCUCUAAAAAGAGUACCAAUGAUAUUGCAACAUAAGACAGAUCACGUAAGCUGCAGAAAAAUGUUGGAGGAAAACAAAGAACUCACUGCAGAAGUUUGGAAAGUGACGACGGAAACAAACUCAUCGGAAGAAAGUUUCUUGCCAAAGGGAAGAGAAGCAGAUGAGCUUCGCAAUCCUGAGAAUUCAGUGAAACCCUGAAGACAAAACAGAAACACAACAGAUACUUAACUCGUGAAGAGCCAGUAAGAGAAAACCAGAAGAAGGAGAAGGAAUGUACCUGAAGAGAUGGUUUGGGGACAGAGAAAGUAGCCGAAGCCAUGGUAACCAGAAACGAUCCAAAAGUUAAGGUUUCAGCAGCAGAGGGCAGAAAAGGUUGUGAAGCAGAGAGGUGGUAAUAUAGGAAAAGGAAAUGAUGAGUUGGAGGCAAAGAAGAUUAGAUUCCGGAUAGCUUUCUUAUUUGUUUGUAUGGUUGUGGUUAUCACUCUUGCAAUCUUCACGUUUUUAUGAUCACAAAUUCACACAGUCUCUUCCUUAAAAACUAUUUUUGAUUUUGGGCUUUUCACUUUGGGCUUCUUCAUCGUAUGUGUGUGUGUGGUUUCGGUUAUAUAAAGAUAAGGCUGAGUCUUCUCCAUUUGUCUGCCUUGAAAGUUCAGACUUUUAGCGCAGAGGUCUUACGAAAUUAUAAGUCUACGAUGAACACAAACCAUCAUAUGAUUGUGAACCAUACUACAUAAUAUCAACUUUCUUAAUAAAUAUCAAAAGUAUGGAGGGUAAAACGUGAUGAUUACAUAGUUCAUGUUGCCCCUGAUCUACAUACCCGUAAAGUGUAUAAGCAUCGUUGGAAAAAUGCGCAACUCGGCAUGGACAUCAAAGACAAAGCUUAUAACAACUAAAGAAGAAAGCUAAACACUCAAAACUAUGGUGAGGCAGAAACAACUCUGUUAAGAACUACCAUCAUAGAUGCCUUCAGAAUCUUGCAACUCUGUAAGCUCAAGGGGCAUAGAAACAUAAAUGUUGAUGAUAAUCAAGUUCUCCAUGUAGCUUGCUCUCUAUUUUAAAACCACUUCCAAGUUAUGCUAACUAAUUUUAGGUUGGGAGGGGGAAAAAGAGAGAUUUUUAUCAAGACUAAAUUCAAAGCUAAUAGUUAUUCACAAUUAUGAAGGUACAUAGUCCUUGCAGAUGAUACUUGUAAAGAUCACACUGUGAGAGGAAGAUCAAUCAACCUUGUUAUAACAAUCAUUAAUCAACAACAGCUAAGAGUCAGUGCAAAGGCUCACAUUCUUCAAGACAAUGACCAACAUAAAUCUAGCAAACAAACAAUAAGCUACGGUCAUCUAUAUUUGCCAGAGAUCCAUACCAACAAAAUCAGACCCUGAGAAUCUGGAGCUUGUUGGCAAAGGCAAUGGCAACCCAAUCAGGCUGAGAAGACGACCACUGAAGCUGCUCAAUCUCAGCGCCGGCUGUGUAAGCAAGAAUCGGAUCAAGACCACCUUCAACAUGCUGUCCCAUGGAAGAAAUAUCCCAAAUCAAAGCCUGAGAAUCAUCUCCAGCAGUGCAGAUGUGUGAGGAGCUAUGAGGAGCCCAAGCUAUGGCAUUUACGCUUGCCUGAUGUCGCUGAAGCUCAACAACAGGAACAGCCGGAAACCGAAUGUCAAGGACCACGAUUUUAGCACUGUCCAUGAUCACAGUAGCCAUAUACCUCGGGUCCUGCUUGUUCCAGCUAAGACGCACCAAAGGAGUACUCGGCUCAGAGCUCUCGUAGAUGAUCGUCGAAUGCUCUUUAUCACGGAGAUCGAAAACCCUCACCGAUCCAUCAGCUGAAACAGAGGCGAAGACGCCGACUCCACCCCAAGCAAUGUCGUAAACCUCCUUAUCAUGAGCAAUAAGCUGAGUAUCAACAACUUCACGAUCAAUAUCCCAGAUCGUACAAGUCGUAUCGAUGCUAGAUGUCCCGAUUCGUCUCGGCUCAGCUUCAUUCCAAUCGAAAGAGGUGAGUGGACCACUGUACUCACUGUUCUUGUCGCUGUUGAGAAAAGACUUGAGCUCAACGCGUGAUUCGUCGUCGGAGAUUCGCCAUAGACGAAGGAAGUCGCUUGAGGUAGCGAGAAGAUCGGGUCUUUGGCACUCUUUAUCGGGGAUGAAACUGGUUUUGGUUGGUGGGUAAGGAUGCUCGAAGCAGAGAUUAGGGUCAGAUCGAAUCUCACCAUUGGAUUCGUCGAGCUGCACAAUCUCGACGCGGUUCGGGUAUUGCUCGAUGAGGCUGGUGAUGGCGAGACGGUACUUCUUAUCGCGACGAACGCUCCAGUUCAUUGCGUAGAUCUGCCAUGGUGCUUCGUAGGUGUAGAUCUCCGAUCGUUUCUGUUGAUCAUCGGAGACAUCUUGGAUUUGAUCGCUGCUCGUAACCAUUUUUGAUUAAAAUCCCCAAAUCUACUUUGAUCCCUAAGCAUAAACCCUAGAUUUAAGAAAAACCUCCUCCUCCUCUUCUGCUUCGAGAGGAUCGACUUCUAAUGGAUAUUCACUCAUUUUUAUAUUUUCUUUAAAAAAAAAAAACAAUUUCAUUUCCUACGACGACGUCGUUUAAAUGCGAGUCAUCUUCAUCAUCAAUUCAUCAUCCACACAAGAUCACUCGAGGAGAGAGCGUGAAUUGGGGGGAUUAUCGUUAAUCCAUGGCGGCUCCGUCGCCGUCUUCCCCACCAAGUCUUCUCUCUCCUCCGCAUUUUCGAUCUGACAAAGCUUCUUUCUUUCUCAGAAAUUGUUCAAAUUUCUCUCAGUUGAAACAGAUUCACGCUAAAAUCAUCCGAUACAAUCUCACCAACGAUCAGCUACUUGUCCGUCAGCUCAUCAGUGUUUCUUCUUCCUUGGGAGAGACCCGAUACGCUUCUCUCGUCUUCAGUCAACUUCAGUCUCCCUCUACUUUUACUUGGAACCUUAUGAUCAGAUCUCUCUCUGUCAAUGACAAGCCUCGUGAAGCUCUCCUUCUCUUUAUCCUCAUGCUCUCUCAUCAAUCCCAGCUUGACAAAUUCACUUUCCCUUUCGUUAUCAAAGCUUGUCUCGCGUCUUCAUCUCUUCGUCUAGGCACCCAAGUCCAUGGCUUAGCCAUCAAGUCCGGGUUUUUCUCGGAUGUGUUCUUCCAAAACACUCUCAUGGAUCUCUACUUAAAGUGUGGAAAACCAGAUUGUGGCCGUAAAGUGUUCGAUAAAAUGCCUGGACGAACCAUUGUUUCAUGGACUACUAUGCUCUAUGGUCUUGUCUCCAAUUCGCAAUUAGAUUCUGCAGAAAUCAUAUUCAACCAAAUGCCAACCAGAAACGUUGUCUCAUGGACUGCAAUGAUCACUGCUUACGUCAAGAACUGUAGACCCGACGAGGCGUUUCAGCUCUUCAGGAGAAUGCAAGUUGAUGAAGUCAAGCCCAAUGAGUUUACAAUAGUUAGUAUGUUGCAGGCCUCUACUCAGCUAGGAAGCUUGUCUAUGGGAAGAUGGGUUCAUGACUAUGCUCACAAAAACGGUUUCCCACUUGAUUGUUUCCUUGGAACCGCUCUGAUCGAUAUGUACAGCAAAUGUGGAAGCUUGCAGGACGCAUGGAAAGUCUUUGAUGCAAUGCAAAGUAAGAGUUUAGCGACUUGGAAUUCGAUGAUCACUAGCUUGGGAGUACAUGGUUGUGGAGAAGAAGCUUUAGAUCUGUAUGAUCAGAUGGAAGAAGCAGGCGUAGAACCAGAUGCCAUCACUUUUGUCGGUGUCUUAUCUGCUUGUGCAAACAUCGGAAAUGUAAAAGACGGUUUGAGGUACUUCGUACGCAUGAUCCAUGUUUAUAGUAUCAAUCCUAUUCAAGAACAUAAUGCCUGUAUGAUCCAACUGUUGGAGCAAGCCCGGGAACGGGAAGUGGAUAAAGUUUCGAACUUGGUUGAUUUUAUGUAUUCUGAUCCAAACACCAAUACUUCGUUUGAAGCCGAAAGCAGGGACAGAGUGGAUGAAAGGCACGAAACGUGGAGCCAGCAUCACAUUAUGUUCUCCAAGUGGGAUGCAGGCUGAUUUUGAAGGUUCAGUGUCUUUUUGACAUAUAAUUUUUUCCUCUAUUAAACAGAUUCAUAUGUAAUCUUUGUAACUAUACAAGAAAAGCUCCCGGAAAAGUAGUGCAAUGUCAUUUAACUGUAAAAGGAAUGGAGUAUCGAUUUGCUGAAGUAGUGAAAAUAGUAAACUUGAUUCGACACCUGUUGUGCGUAAUAGUACUUAAAAUGUUUCAAUAACUGUAGAACGUAGAAACAUGAAGUUGGAUUUGGGGUAUUAAUGGCCUUAAUUUAGCAUCGUAAACGGUCUUCAAAUGUAUGAGUUUGAUAUAUAAAUGUUAGUGGAAUUUUCAUAUCGAUCAUUCACUAUUCUGUUUUUGUUGUAAAAUGAGCAUUAACUCUUAAGAAAAAGAAAUACAUAUUGAAGGAAACAGGAAAUGUUUGAUCGUAAUGCAUACAAGAGAGAAGAUGCAAUCAGAAACAGAGACUUUAUUUGGAAAUUUAUAGAUGAAACUAAGAUACUACAUAAAUUCAGAAUUUUGGGCUUGGCUAUGCUUGAUCUGAGCAACAGCGAUCUCAGCUUGAGUUUUAGCCAAAAGAGAUUCGGUUUUCUGAAUUUGAGUUUGUAGAAAAUAAAUAAUCCCAACACAUCCAUAAACAGGAUCUUCUACUCUGCAUUUCGCUUCAAAGCACAAAGAAUCCACUGCUUCAGCUCUUGUCUGAACAGGAAGUUGCUGUCAAAAGAUCACCAAAGUCCAUUAUAAACUAUUUAUACAAUAAAGUUAUCUUAAUUUGGGAUUUAGAAGAGUUACACAAACAGAGAUUUACAUACCUGAAGCAUUUUGGAAACAUUUCCAGCACCAUAGAUUCUGUGGAUAUAUGCAAAUUUGUCAGGAUCGUUUGGAGGGAAGUAAGGUGAGAAGAAGCAAUCUUUUGGACAUCUUCUUCUCAGAUAUUUGCAAGCAGCACAUCUUUUAGGAUUCAUCACAGAUUCUAUAGAGAAAGAAAAACAAAAGAUACAAAAGAUUGUGAAAUCUAGAACAAGGAUUUGGCUAUUUGUAUUCUUUUUUGGUUUCCUUUUCUUUUCCAAUAAUCCAACGGCUACUUUCCAGUUUGUGAAAUUUUGAGAACAUUUACAUAAGGUAAGCUUAUUAAUGGUGAUUUUCAUUGUGACUAAUUAGAAUAUUACCGUUAAGUGUUAAAUUUUGUUUAAAGAAAACAUUGAUGUUGCUUAAUUACCUUCAAAGAGAAAAAAAAAUUGUACAUUGCCGUUGAUCUUGGUCAAAGCAAAAGAUGAACUUGAGAAACAGGUCUUCAAAAUUGCAGAUAAAGAGGAUCAAAUUUCUCUUAUGUUUAACCACUGUUUCAAAACCAUUUUAAGAGACGACAUGAUGAAAUCAAAUAGAGAGACUUUCAAAAAGGAAGAUAAUACAGAUGACUAAGUAAAAGUAAAAACAAACAGAAGUUCUCUUCUUUCUUUUUUUCCCCAACUUCAAAUCCUUCUUGAGACCUUAAACCAUAAUUUUCCCACUUAAUCUGAAUCUUCAUAAACUUCACCAUCCGACAAUUCAUCGAAAGACCUCAUAUCAAGCUGGUACCUCAACAAUCCACCAAUUCCACCAAAGCCUCUGCAAAAUUGUGAUCCUUCUUGGGACUUGUUAGUCACAAAUUCAAGCGUACAACCAAAACGUUUAUACUCAUUAGCAAACCAUUCAAGCAGAGGCAUCUUAUCUUGAACUUCCAACUCCGCAUUGGUCUCUGCAUCGUGGAAAUUGCUUUGAUCGUUCUCUUGAUCCUUUCCCAAAUGCUUAACCACUAUUUCCCCGGUCGUGUUGUUCUUUAACUCAUACCUAUUUAUAUCCAGAUUCUCCCACACUAUAAGAGUUUCAACAGCACCCAUUUCUAGAGCCUUUAAAGUAUCAUCUACACCGAAAACAUAUUUCCCUGUGUCUUGACUAAUCUCCUCAAAGUACUUCCCAAUCAGUUUCUUCUCCUGUAUGAACUUCACAUUAGAUAGAAUCUCAGCAGACAACUCGAUCGCUUGGUUAAAACCAUUCUCUCCUCCGUAAGAAACAUCAACCACAUUCAAUAUCUUAGCUUGAAGACGAGGGUCAAACAGUUCUGACUGGCUUAGCUCGGUCUUGAAAUCCGCAGAACCAGCUAGUAUAAGACCAGCGACAUUUGGCUGACUCGUAGCUGGAUUAAUGUAAAACUGAGUGGCAAGCUCUGCUGUUUUCCUCACGUAGUUAUGUCUCUUCUCCAUCCUAAGACGAGCAAACCGUAGCGCAGAUUGUCCUCCUCUUCCGUGCUUCUUAGGAAGAUCGACAGUGAAUUUAUGAAGAACCUCUCUUGUAUUCCCACUCAAAGUACCAAACAAGGUUCCAUUUCCAUCCAUAACAAUGAAACCAAACUUGUCAUCAGACUCAAGAAGCUCGUUUAAAGGCUCGGUGUGGAACUUAUUGUCACACAAGUACAAGGAAGCAUUUAUGGGUUUGAAAGGCUCGAAAUCAAUCGUCACUUUCUUCUCUUUUCCAUCGUCGGUUACAAUGGUUCCAGUGUACAGAACAAGACCAUUGGGAGGGACUUUGUUGUAGAGCUUCAACCUCUGUUGAGCUGAAGUAAUGGCUGAUAAAACAGACUGACGGUUUACACGACUCUUGAUGUUUGAAGCGGUUCCGUAUUCAUCAGCGAGCAUCUUAGUGACACGAGAUACCUGAUCUCGUGGAGGCAUUAUAAGAGAGAUCAUACUUGUUCCAUUACCUCUUGCGGUUUCAAGACCCUUUAUUAGCUUCUUAAUCUUCCAAAUCUCGAUGUUCUUAUCUGAUUCUUGGUCUGCCAUUUUCUUUCCUUCAAGCUUGAGACAGAGCAACGGAAUCGAAACAAUGAGCUAACAUAAAAAGAAAGAAUAAACAACAAAUUCGAAACUUUAGAAGAAGUAAGCAUCAGCUUCUGUUCAUCUUUAAACAGCUUGAAAUUGACUAAACGAGGAAAGGGAAUCGAUUGAUUUAAGCAGACACCAGAUUGAAAUUGUAAGAAAAAAAAAAAUCGAAACUUUUAACAUGAACAGAUUGGUUCUAUACGCAGAGAUCGAAAAAGCGCAGAUUCACGUACCUAUCUCCACAGUCCACACUAUCUCUCUCUCGCUAUCAGCGAUUCUCGAACUCGCAGCUUCUCGACCCAGAAAUGACUCUCCUUUAGGGUUGUUUUACCUUCCUUCCAAAUGAACACGUGAGUCUCACGUGAAGAAACGUAGUAAUUUUCGAUUCCGUUUUUUUUGUUUUUUUUUUAACGCGGGACGGAUUAUCCGAGAGGAUUGAUGAUAACUGAUUCCAUUGUUUUUUAGCUUCAACAUCCAAAAUUACCGCGUUAAAAAUGGAUGGGCUGAAAUUAAAACUUGUAGAUGGGCUAAAGCAUAAAAGGCCCAUUGUAAUUGGACAAUGAACGGCGCGAUUUUGUUUUUCUUUUUGAAAAGGAUAAUUCGAGUUGAUAUCAACAAAAAGAAAAGCACGUAGAAGCUAAAAAAAAAAGUAGAUAAAUUGGUAUUUAAUUAAAUUAAGUGUUCAUGUAUAAUCCAGGACGUGUAUAUACGGUCUUUAAAACUUACAGUUUGCAAAUUCUUGUUGAUAAUGUUUCUUCACUGACGUAUAAAAAUAAUAUUUUAAUUUGGUUAAUUAUAUAUGUAAUCAUAUCCCUUUAUCGGAAAUUAAUUAACAAAAACAAUUAAAAGAAGAGAGAUAUCACAUGCGCGUGCGACAAGCCGAAAUGGACGGUGAAGAGUGAAGAUACACUCUUAUCACUCUCAUCGUCUGCCUCACAUUACUCAUGACUUUUGUAGAGAUUCUUACUUCCAAUAUUCUAUCUUACUUUUCUUUACAGUCCUUCUUAAAUAAUGGAUGAUUGUUGUUAUAUCAAAAGUUAGGUUUCGUGGUUAGUAGCCAAUAAAAUUAUAUAUAGAAGAGAGAAUGUGGUCUUUCCACCGAAGCCAAAGCAUUAUCUAUCAGUUGGUUCUACCCUCCACUAUUCUAACAAAUAAUUCUAAAUUUUAGCUAAGAGUCCAUUUUGUUUGUAGCUUUUUUAAGAAAAUUAAAAAGUAAUUUUGUCGAUCUUUUGUGAAUGAAUGUUCAAUAUUCUCUCAAUCCUGACCUAUCUUACAAUUUUUCCCAUUUUUCGUCUUAGCAGUUUCUAGUGUUCUUAACUCUCCUUCAUAUCAACUUGCUAAUCAAUUCAAUCCUAUUAAAACCAGAGCUUGCACAUUCACUUUAGAGGUUUGUUUCUUUUUAGAUAUCAACGAGCAUAUAUUAACAAAAAUCCUAAACAAUAUUUGGACAGUAAUACAUUUUUUCUUCCGUUAAUUUACAUUUUACACUCCACUGGAUUUAAUUAGAUGGUGAAACAGAAAUAGUAAUGAUAUUAUUAAACUGUAGUGACAAACUAAUAUUAGAUACGCGAACCUAAGAAAAUUUGUUAACUAUAUAUUACAUGCAAUAUGUAAAGUAAUAUUUUAUUAAGCCUCUAAAAUUGGAAUCAUACAUCAUAAUGCUAUAGAAAGAGAAAAAAAAAAGCUGGUACAAGAGCCAUCACCUUCUCACAUCCACAAAAGUUGCAGAAGGGAAGCAAAAAGAAACACCAUAAUCACUCAAAAUAAACAUAACUUUAAAAAGGGAAAAAAAAGAAAGAAAAAACUAGAUACCUAGGGCUAAAAUCGGUGGCAUCUCUGAUCGAGCACUCUUCUGAUCUCUAGCACGAGAAGAUACAUAACAAAAAAGUUAAAAUCUUUUCAGCCAAUACAAUUAAUGACCCUAAAUUUGAUUAAAGAUUUUAUGAAGGGCAAAUUUUGUCAUGGGACGACGAAGCUAUAAAUCUCUUGGGAUAAUAACCACGGCCAGUAUUACUCUUCUUCAAGCAAUAACCAAUGCUUGAAGGAACCAAAGGCCCUUGUGUUUUCCCAUACGAGUUCCAACACAAAGCUUGUUGCUGUUGAUGAGUUUGUAACCCUCUGAUUCCUCCGGAAGGUCUUAGCCUUAUAUCCAGAAGAUCCACAUCCAUGCAUGGUACGUUGUUGCUGCAUGCGAUACGUACCGGUUGCACCGUGAAACUACCGACGAUGUUGUUGUAUUUAACUCCGGAAAUAGACACUGCACCGGUCUGAUUCUUACAUUUGGACUUGUCGCAGUAAUAUUGGUCUAUUACUAUCGGUACUUUCACGUCCGUUACUUGUAUGUUCGAGAAUGUUAGGUUCUUGACGACCCCUAAUCCUCCCUAGAGAUAGUAAUUCCACGUCAUUCACCAAAAUAAAUAAAUGAAAUCUUGUAUCUAAUUUAAAUUAGCCUGUUUGAUUACUUCGGUUAAAAUGGAGCUAAUCAACAAACUAAAAAAGUGAUUCAAAAUUAAAUUGAAAAUGAAGAAACCCGUUAAAUUUUACUGUUUUUAUAUAGUCGAACCGAUUAUUUUUUUUAUCCUGCUCUCCCGACAUAAGUAAAAAAAAAGCCUUUCUAUAAAUACCUGCCAAGUCUUGAUUCGAACACCAGCAAGAGUGUUCUGCAGAGAAAUAUCCUCAACAAUGAUAUCAGACACACAUGCCACACUCUUAUCUUUCCCUAGACCUCCUAUGCUGUGAUCACAAACCAAAAACAAAUACCAAAAAUUAAGCCCUUUAAAUAUUAAGUAUAAAAAAUGAAUCAGUAAAAAUUGCAAAAGUAAUACAGUGAAAGUUAAUUUAAAUUAUUUUACAUAUAUAUCUGGCACAAUAAUUUAUAUAUAUAAUAUACCUGAUGCCAUGGCCAGGGCCACAGCUGAUGUGGUGAAUAUGUACAUUGGAGGAGCCGGUUUGAAUAGAUACACAGUCGUCUCCUGUAUAAAAAGGAUACUUAUUAAAAAGGAUUAAAUUUUCAAAUUAGAAUUACAUCCUAUAAGAAUGGUUAUUAAAAUUAUUAUAGUGUGGUUUGUGUUUAGUAUUUAAACAUUUAGAUUCUCUGGUCCAUAUAACCUCACUUAUUUAAAUAAAUAUUAAAACAUUUAGAAUGUUUGGUCCACAUAUCCCUCUUAAUUUAUCUAUAAAGGUUAUGAAUAAAUUAAAGGAAAGAGAGCUUUUUCAUUCUGCAUGCUUGCUUGUUUGCAUAAAAAGUUAGUUUGGGUGACAGUUAUACCGUUAAGUGUAUUUCUUCAACCAAUGAUGUCUUUUCCUGUUUGAUGUCUUUAUUUAAUGAUACUUUAUAAAGGAUUUUACAUUUCUUAUAUCUUUCUUCAUUAAUAGUGUUUUUUUCACUUUGGCGUCCCAACGUGGCAACCACUAUGUUCAAUUAUAUUUUCAAUUAUAUUUUUUGUAUAUGAUAGAGUUGCAUAACAUUGGAGCAAUGGACGAUAAAAAUGGCAGAACAAAAUUCUCAUUCAAUACUUCUUUCAUAUGUAAUUGUUGAAGCGGAACCGCAUUUUUUAUUUUAGAAAAAAGCGUUCUUGGUGUUAUUUUUAUAGUUUUUACUGGUAAAAAGUCGACUAAAGUAUAGAAAAUUUAAAAUUUUCCGAGUAUCAACCAUAAACUACCAAUCAGAAACAUUUGAUAAAGGUAUCUAUUAUAAGCAUACAUUUAUAUAUAUAUAUAUAUAUAUAUAUAUAUAUAUAUAUAUUCUAUUUAGCAUCAGUGAGACAGAAAAAUUUAAGAAUGAUAUUUAAUUUUGAGAACGUCAUAAUCCAUGGUAUUAUAUAGUUCUUUUAUUUUAUUCCUUUUAACAAAACAUAUAUAGUUAUUUUAUAAAGCAAGUAAAUAAAAAUUGUUAGUAAAAGAGUAUGAAUUACCGCAAGCGAUGUUGGAGUGUUGAAUCUCGACGUUACGUGUGUUUUGGAGGUGGAUGCCAUCGGUGUUAGGGCUAUUUUCCGGUGAAGAGAUGGUUAUGUUGUUGACUCUGACUCCGUCGGAAUUAUCAAACUUCAGGUGACACAGUGGGCUGUUCACGAUGCUUAUGUCACGGACCGUCACGUUAUCACUUGCAUAAAACCUAAGUGCCUAUACGUAUAAAAUAAGCCAUCAAUAGGCAUAUACCAAUCUAUAUACAUAUAACAUUUUAUGAAUAUGUAUUAUAAUAACAUUAUUGAAUAAAAAUAGACUUACCGUUGGUUUCAUUGGUGGGAUAUACUUAUUUCUCUUCUGAAAACAAAAGAAGAAGAUUGAAGCAACACCGUUAAAAAAGACAUAUAUAAGUCUAAGAAAUUAUAACAUAGAAAAGAAAACGUUAACAGUUAAGAAGACAUCAGUAUAGAAGUCUAAAACUUUAUUAAACCAUGCAAUGUAAUAUAUUAAAAUAGUUUUUUUUCCUUUUUACACUAAAUCAUUUGAAUUAAAUUUUCUUUCCCGAACAGUCUCCAUUAAUAUCCCAAAUCUGAACUUUUGAAAAGCAAUUAUUACAUAGGUUGAUAAAACAUCAUGGCGAUAUUUAAAAAUAUAAAAGACUGAUAAUAUUUAAAAAAUUAUUGGUUUGUUUAUUUUUUCAGAUUUGGAACUUGAUGUACGAUAUGAAAAUCUCUAUAAAAUGUAGAUGUAAAAUCGAUCAUGUGGAUUCUAACUAAAAUAUAGAAAUUUUUAAUUUUAUAUUAAGUUUGUAUUUUAAAUUUGUAAAUAUUUUUUUAAUUUGUUUAAUUCAAUAGAAAAAUAAAUAUUGAGCAUCAUAUCCAGAUUAAAUUCUAACAAUAUCUACUAUGCGGUUUCAAUAUCGAAAAGAAAAAACCUUACGUGAGUUUGAUAAGUGUCUAAGUUCCACCAGUUAAAGCCACGAGCAUCAAAUGUCCCCGAGCCUUGUAUGGUGACGUGGCCGACCCAUUUGAAGUUAAGCCAUUGAAACAAGCUUGACUUAGGCCAUGAACCUAUCUUACCCGGAGCCACUAAGGUUCCUUCUAUUUGAAUCACUGUUUCCUCUUUGCACGGCCCUUGCAGCGUCACCGGCUUCACCAUAAACUCUUUCCCUGCCGGAAUCUCUAUCUUCCCUCCGGCCACUUCGCAAGCCGCCUUCCACGCUCCGACCAAUGCCUACGCAGCUCGCAAUAAUACAAUGUCAUAAUCAAAUCAGGAAAAUAACUACAUACAUAUAUAUCUUUAAAACUUAUAUUUUAGAUAUAUAAAACAUUUUUUUUUCUGUUUUCGUAAUUCAUUUGUGCAAAAUGCAAACGCAAGCCCCAAACGGGUCUCCUUCCACUUAAGUUUUUCGUCUACAUUUUACAAUUAGCAAAAGAGUUGUGCUUAAAUAUAUAUAACGUUUUGAGUUUAUUAAAGUAAACGCAAAUGCAAACAAACAAUCGAGACCUCCUACUAAUAUUUCUAUUGCUUUAGAACAAAACAUUGAUGUUGAAAAUAUAUGAAUUAUGUUUGUUGCAUACCUUUGAGUCGUCGGAGACUCCAUCUCCCUUGGCACCAAAGGAGAGGAUGUCGAAAACACCCUCAUGGGUGGACGGAUAAGGUGCGGGUGCAGGUGAGCCGGUAGGGGUAUUUUUGGAAUGACGACGGUGUUUGGGUUUGAUCUUCUUUACGUGAUGUUUACGGCCCUCGACAGAGAUGGUGGAGAUGGCGGCGGCUACGAUAAUGACACAGAGCAGGAUAGCUAAAAGUGGCGAACUCUUCAUUGUCUUCAUAUUUUUCUUAAUAUUUUUGCUGUGUUAAUGGUAGUUUGUAGAACGGUUUAUAUAGCAAUACUUUCACCUAACUAACCCUUUUUCUUGUUCUAUUUUCAGAAAUACCCUUUGUAAUUCCAAAAGAACAAGGCGUAAACUCGAUUCCAUUGUGAGCAAUCGGAAACAUACAUCGGGCUAUAGCAUUUGACAAUAGAUUUUUUACUAGUCGUUGAUAAUAAGUUUAAAACUCCAAAUAUCUAAAAGUUUGGUUCAGGCUGAAUACUUGCCUAUUCAAACCAUAAACAUAUGACCAAUUCACCCACCAAAGUACCGUAAAUCCAAUUCUCCGAAAGGCAAGAAGUAAGGUGUUGAUUUUGAUUUCUUUCCUAUCAAUUACGUUUUACAGGUUGUAGGUGGAUGCUCUAUACAAAACUCACAACACCCAAAUUUUUAUUUUGUUAAGUUUAUUUUAAAGCCAUUAUUAUAAAAUUUUAGAAAACUUACUAUAAGUUUUCCCCAAACAUAAAUGCCGGUACAAUGUGACACAUCUUAGACUGAAUUCUAAUUCUAUAAAUCUACACAAGCAACAUGAAACCAAUCAGACACUUAUGUCUUUUCUUUCUACACCUUUUUCGUAGGUUUAAAAGACAUUCUUUCCGUCGUUAAUUAAUAAUUCUCAUGAGCAAUAAUUUUAAGCCUUUUUUCUUUAAAUAGGUUCCAAAUUAAUAGAAAGAUGAAAAGCUAGUGUAAAGAUCAAUAUUUAAAUAUGUUGCUACACAAAAUCCAAAAUGGUAACCCAAAUGCCAACUAAAAAGUGUUGAACCAUUAUUAAAAAAAUGACCAGAAAUCUAUACAAGGUAUUUGUGUGUAUGUUUAUAUAUUCUUUAUAUGUCAUGAAAGAUGCAUGAAACAUCUCGGUUUUAAUUAACUUUAUACACAGAAAGGUAUAGCUGCAUAUUAGUAUAAAGAUACCCAAGACCAGAUUACUAAUAAUAUGACAUUGAUUAUGUUAAGUAUAAAUUUUCAUAACACCACGAAUAGAAAAAGCUGGUGAAUUGUUGAGUAAUAAUAGAAAUGAGUUAAUGGGGAAUGACCUGUGACAUUAGCAAUUGCUUGUUCCUCAAUCAUAAGCAACCGUUAGCACUCUUACAUUAUAAAAGUAAAAAGACCUUAUCCAGACCUUUCAUUACCUAUAAAUAUUUGGUUCCAAAAAUUAGUUAAAUAAUUUAAUGUACUUCACUAAUCCAACUAAAUAAAAUGGGAUUAAUUAGGUAAAUCAAUUAGGGAUUUCAUAAAAUAUGGGAUAAAAAACAGGAACUUGUUAUCUUAUAAAUUGUUUGAUGUUUCCACUAGUAAUAUUUCUCAUGUCACUGUGGAUCAAUCCGUGAUUUAUGUGGUUAUGUUAAUUGUUGACAAGGAAUUGUGAUUUUGUUUCACUGCCUUUGAUCAUAUAAAUAUAAACCGGUUAUUAGCUUUGCCUCAAGACUGAAGAAUACAAAAAUGCCUCAAAACAAAGGAAACUAACUACAUCAACGCAAAAACCAACCAUGGCAUUUCGAAGAGGUUGAGAUUCUCUCAAUAUCAAAGAUCCUAUGAAGUCAAGACGGAUAACUUGAGGCUAUAUGCGAGUGAUGAUGCUCAUGGACUGUUACACUUUGAGAAUUGAGAGAUACACCUCUAUUUGUUGUCGAAGACAAAUAAAAAAUCUAAAAGAAACAUUUAACUAACUAAUUAUCUAUGGAGAGACAAAGAGGAACUAUAGAAAGCAACAACAUAUUAUCAAUUACACAGAAAAGUAUCAUCAUAAUACAAAAGCUUUAUAAGAUUAAUUUGCCAAAAGAAGACAAAAACCAAAGUUGGGUGUUUGGUGAAUUAAAAGGUUACGAUUUUAGGAGAAACUUAAGUAGGCAAUACACCACUAUUCCCUAAUGAACUUAUAGUGACUUUUGAUUUCAAGAUUUAAAUCUAAUUCUAAAAGUUAUCCAUCAGACAUUAGUAUAUAGGUGAAUUGACGCUCAAAACGAAAUUUUAGAAGAAAAAUAUUCUAUUAUCUACUGACAAUAUAUGAGAUAUCUCUCUACAAAACAUAGUCUAAACAUAUGGUCUCUAUCUAUCAUAGUAUUAGCUCUUAAACUAUUUUAUUACAAUAAAGUAAUCAAUUUUCUUCUUUUUUUCGACAAAACAAUAGAGUAAUCAAUUUAAUAACUUAAAAGUGUAAAUUAGACCAAACAAUCUAAAAAUAGUUUGCGGUAAUUAUAGAGAAUGAUACACCAGUUUCCAUCUGUUAUUAGUAGUAAACACCAUUCAAAUGAUUAAUACAAAACUAAAUAAAUAUUCGAAAUGAGACAGAGCAAAGCCAGUUUUAUUACCCUUCCAUCUAACUUUUGUUUUGUUUUCGUGUAAUGUACAAUGCAGGAUUGAUCAAUCAAUGAUCAACAAAAUGAGAGAUUUUGCUUUUGCUCUUUCCCUGUGAUCAUCUAACAAUGGAGAUUCUGUCUGUACCAGAAUCCAACAAACAAGCUUGUAAACUAUAUUGCUUUUUAAGGACCAACAAAAGAUAGCAUUUGGCUGUGACUUCCUGCAUUGUAUAGACUUAGCUGAUAUAUAGCUUUCGAUACAAGUUCCCUCAACUCUGGAUUCUGCAGACUCGCCAACCUUUCUGCUCCUUCGAGCACCGUCAAAACCUUAGCCUGUUCCAAUUGCUCGUGGUUACUAGCAUUCAUCGAUAGGUAACAGAGCAGAACCAGACAUUGUAACUGCACUUGCUGCUCAAAGUUCCUUAUCAGCUUCAUCAACAACGGGAUUGACCCGUAUUCGAUUAUGUUCUUCGAGUGCUCUGCACAGAGGAAAUUCUCGGGGCAGACGAAUUUCUGCAACGAAAUUACAGCUGUUAUCGCCACUUCUUGGUCGCUACUACCGAGUUUCUCCACCAACGGCUCGAUCAUUCUCGUCUCUCUUGCCGGGAACGUCCUAGCCAAUGACCCUAUCGAUUGAAUCGCUGGGAUUUUCAGGAUCGGGCUAUCGACUUCUUUGAUUAUCCACAACAUCUGGUCAAUAACAGCUUUAGCAGCCGGGGAAUUAGUCUUGAAAGCUGCUCGUCUAAGGUCAGCAUUGGACUCUGCAGCAGCGGUUAUCUCCAUUAGCGUCAUCAAACAAUUGUAUUGCAACUCUCCGACUUCUUUUUCCACUAUCUUCGCCAAAGAAAGCAAACCUUUCGUCUCCGUUAUCCUCCUACUGUUUGCUACAUUCCCUCUAGCGAGCAUCCAUAGAGCUUCCGCACAGUUUACUUUAAGCUCAUGUUUCACUUCUGGAUUCUCAUUAUCCCUCUCCUUCUUGAAAUUCCCUGUUGUUCUACUUCCACUAACACCAAUGUCACGAUACACAUUCGACUUAGAACUCUUAUACGGCCUGUAAAUUUUCAAGGAUGCAUCUUUCUCAAUGUCUUUGUUCAUCUGAACAAGAGAGUGAAUGCUAUUAUGCUUACUCAGUGGAACUUGAAGAUCAUCCACAAAGACGUCCAGCGAAAGCAGCGUAACCAGAGGCUUGAUCACGCUCUGUCUAGCGAACUCGUCUUGAGCAAUCGGAUCGUGUUCCGCCAUUCUUGCCACCAAUGUAGCUACCUUGAUCUGAACCCUAACCGGAGAAUCCCCAAGAACCUGAACGAUAAUCGGAACACCGAGCUCGUUAACAAUAGACCUCACUUUAUCCUCGUCGCAAGCCAAAAACCCUAACGCAGUAGCCGCCGAGAUUUGCGCCUCCGCCGAUGAGCUCUCCUUGAGUAGCCUCAGCAAAGGAGGAACACCUCCUUCGUCUACGAUGAUCUUCUUGUUCCUAUCGUUAUCUCCGGCAAGCGAACCAAGCUGAUUCGCGGCGUCGAUUUUAUCCGGCAAUUUCCCCAUCUGUAUCGACGCGACCAGGGACCAGACCCAAGGGAAAAUCGGAUCGUUGGUGGCGAUCGGUGGUAGCGAGAUCACGAUUCCACCUCCGAAGCUUCCGUCUCCGUCGGAAUCAAACACACUCAGUAUCCAUUUCACGUCACCGUUGGAAGAUUCGAGAAGGUUAACCACCUUGCGAAAAUCGGCGGCGUUGAUGAUAGUGCAAACUCGCCGGAUUACGUUGAGUCUUCUACACUUGCGAACAAGAGCAUAAGCUCGCUCUAGAUUCUUCUUAACAUCGACGAUAACUCGACGAAUCGGCCGGUCGUAAACCUGCUGAGAACCGGUGACAAGGCGAACGAGCGUCCUGAGCAUUUGAGCAAGCCGAUCCACUUGCUUACCAACCUCACCGCACUCCGUCUUGAACGAUUCAGCCUCAUCCACCGCUCCACGGAGGCGCUCCGCCGUGAGAACCGAAAUCGAGAGCUCGUCCCCGAUUCGGCUCUCUUCUUCCAUUAGAAAUGAAAUCUGGUGGAAAAAAACUUCAAUCAAUCGAGAGUAUCGAUUUCUACGGGUUUAUUGUUGAAGCUGCUACUACUAUGUUCAUCGUCUUCUUCGCAAUAGUGUUAAGUCUCUCUCUCUCUGUCUCUCGAUCGUCCAAAGCUAGUCAAGUCCGUUUUUCUUUGCUUUUGCUUUGUGUUUUUUCUACGGUUUCGAUUUGACCGGCGCGUGGACUACACGGCUUACGUGUGUUCUUUAAAUUAUUUAAUGCCUGGAAGAAAAAAAAAAUAGAAAGCGUUAAUGAAAAAGGAAAUUAACGCCCGUGGGUGUUUAGUUCGAGAUUUAACAGAAAUUCCUAUCAUUUGUUUAUGACUUUGUGACAUAGUAUAGGCAUAUACAACAGUAAAUGUUCGAGAAAGAUGGAAUAUUUUUAGGUUCCAAACUAAGAAAAAAAAUGAGUACAGUAUUAGAAAGAACAAUAUCUUAAUGAUUAACGCAUUGACACUGUAGUCAAUGAAUUAUUCAAUUAAAAAUGAAAACAAAAAUAUACAGUAUAGUAGAAAGCGCGUACGUCAACAUUUGUAGCCAGUGCGUGUGGCAUUGCUAGAUCCACUUAUUAUGUGUUUUUCUAAAACCACUACUUUGAUUCCGGAUUUUUUAACAGGCCUUCACAGUGGAAACAAAGACUGGUUUUCGUGGGUUUAGUUUUGUCAAUAGGUGGGCAUUUGGUUCAGCCCAUAGUUUAUUUUCUUUCUUUUUGAAGAGGUAAAGAAUACAAAAUUUAAUGAAAACAUCUACGAAUCCUUUUUUUCUUUUUUAAAAAAGCUACGAAUCCAUAUUUAAACCUCAACAAUAUUAUAGCUGUACGAAUAAAUUCAGGAUAAAUCGUAUGAUCAGUAUUCAUGCCUCGAUUUUGUACUUAACCUCUUGGUUAAAUUUUCUUCCAUAUAGUAUGCUCAGUGUUCAUGCCUCGAAUGGGUUUGUUUUAAGGAAAGCCAUUGAUGGGCGCCAUGAGUAUUAAUCGUUGAAGUUUAUCACCAGUUUAUUCAGAAUUAGAGGCACUAAUGUUGGCAAUGUAGUGUUUAGCGAAGCGCUAACAAAAACAACUAUUGCAUUCGAGAUAAAUUGUUCAAAACUCGUGAAUUGAUGACAUCGUCUCUCUCGGAUUAAUACAUAGGCCUUAAUUUUUCAUAAUUUUAUAUGGUUUUAUCGUCUUAGAUCGUAUUUUAGAUUUGUUUCUUUGUUGCUUGUAUCUCCCAUGAAAACUUUAAGACCGACUGUUUUGGCAUGUGGCAUUAGACAUCAUAACGUAUAUAUUUUACAUCUCUAUAUUUUAUCAUUUGUGUAAGUUAUUUGCCACCAACUUGCCUGUUCACCGCACAGUCUUUUUAAAUUAAUUUGACAACAACAACACCAACAAAACAAAGAGAUUAAAUUCUUCACGGCAAUUCAGAUAACAAUAUUCUUUUGUCGUUAUAAUUUGAAUACACUUCUUAUCAAUUAACAAAUUUAUUUGCAUGCUAUCUAUGAAGCACAAUCACAAUAUUUUCUUUUCCAAAAUUGUUGAAAAGUUCCACAUUAAUAUAAAUAUGAAAUAUGAUUGCUUAGUAAUAGACAAAUAUUAUUAUUUGACCAGAUUUCAAAUGGACAGAUAUCAUUUAGUAAGAUGACCAAAAUACAUUUGUAUUCUUCCUGUAUUUUUAUUGCCAACACAGCAAUUUUUUUUCCCCACAUUUGCCAAUUAGUUUAUUAAAAUGCUAGCUGCUUUUUUCCCUUCUUUUUUUUUUGACACAAAUGCUAGUUUUUUUGGUAUGAACAUAAAUGCUAGUUGCUAAAUGAUAACUUUCUCUUUGUUUGGAGAGUUGAAUAUAUAUAUAUAUAUAUAUCAUUUACACAAAGGCAAAUUUUUGUCAGAAAUACAUAAACAAUACCCAUUCUCUAUUGAAUUCAUGAAUGAUUAAUCCCAAUUAAGAUCCUCACUCUUUGGUCAUUGGUCUUUCACCUCCUUUAAUCUCUCUCCAUUUCUCUCUCUCUUUGUCUCUCUCAUCGACAUGGGAAAAGACAAGAAUCUAACGGAGGCACUUCUCUCUACGGCGGAGACCACCGACCCGACGACCCUUCUUCCCUACUCAACCGCCGAUGAUAUUUCUCCGAUCACAACCGUCGGUGGAUUCGUCAAAGAGUUUAACGUGGAGGCCAAAAAGCUAUGGUAUUUGGCCGGUCCCGCUAUUUUCACGUCGAUGUCCCAAUAUUCUCUUGGCGCCGUUACUCAGGUCUUCGCCGGCCACAUCAGCACCAUCUCUCUCGCCGCCGUCUCCGUUGAAAACUCUGUCAUCGCCGGCUUCUCCUUCGGCGUCAUGGUAAAUUUACUAAAAUGACAUUCACGCCCCUUAUAACAUUUGCGAGUUUUGCGUUUAUCAUUCAAAACGUUUAGUUUGAUUUACUUUCAUUUUUAUAAAAUACUUUAGAGUAUUUUAUUAUUGUUUGAUUGAUAUUCAAAAAAAUCUUUACACUAGUGCAUAAAUCGAGCCAGACAUAGAUUGGUGUUAGGAAUUCUUUUAGGUGAAAUGUUUCUAGAUAUUUAUUUGUAGUUUUCUGUCAAAAGUUAAAAUUUAACAUUUAUAAAGAUUUGAUGUUGACGUUUGGACGUCUAGUUGUACGUCUGCCACAGAAACAAAACAUUAGUUGUUGAUUGAUUUAUCAACCGAUUUGGUUAUAAUUGGUGUGUUAUAUUACAUUAGACUACUAUCGACUUCCUAUGCACCGAUUUAUAUUACAUUAGUGUUUAGUAUAGUUAUCAUUUCAAAAAUAUAAAUACAAAUGCAAACAAAAUGAUUUUUUGUGUUAUCUUUUCCGAAAUAAAUACAAAUUAUUACAUAUUUGGAAAAGGAUGCAAAUUCAAUUAUUUUUUUUUACUUUGUAAUCAACCAAUCGUACAUCUAUAACGAAAAUUUCACGUUUGAAUAUUUUUUCAGUAUUCUCCUUACUUUUUCUUGUUUUGUAAUGUUGAUAUGGCUGCGAUUGUGAACAUGACUAGCUUGGAAUGGGAAGUGCGUUGGAAACGCUAUGUGGACAAGCGUUUGGAGCGGGACAAUUGAAAAUGCUUGGCGUUUACCUACAACGAUCAUGGGUGAUCCUAAACGUGACCGCUCUUAUCCUCUCUCUCCUCUACAUCUUCGCCGCCCCAAUCCUAGCGUCCAUCGGCCAAACGCCGGCUAUUUCUAGCGCCGCCGGAAUCUUUUCCAUAUACAUGAUCCCGCAAAUAUUCGCUUACGCCGUUAAUUUUCCAACCGCUAAAUUCCUCCAAUCGCAAAGCAAGAUAAUGGUCAUGGCCGCGAUUGCCGCGGUUGCGCUUGUUCUCCACGUGCCCCUCACGUGGUUUGUCGUGGGGAAGCUCAAGUGGGGAAUGGCCGGUCUAGCCGUCGUGCUUAACGGCUCGUGGUGGUUCAUUGUCGUGGCACAGCUCGUGUACAUAUUUAGUGGCACGUGCGGUGAGGCUUGGUCUGGAUUAUCGUGGGAAGCUUUUCAUAACUUGUGGAGUUUCGUUAGAUUGUCUUUGGCUUCUGCUGUUAUGCUCUGGUGAGUCUAUAUUUUUUUAUAAAAAAAUUAGUUUUUUUUGUGAAAUUUCUGAUUAAUUUUUUUUACUUUUGAAGUUUGGAGGUGUGGUAUUUUAUGGCAGUCAUAUUAUUUGCUGGAUAUUUGAAGAAUGCUGAAGUCUCUGUAGCCGCACUCUCCAUCUGGUAAAAUAUUUCAAUUUUAUAAGUAGACACGUUAUGUCAAAUGUUAUUUUUUUUUAAAACUCAUUUAACGUCAUUUACGGUGUGUAGUGUUCAGUUUUUUCCUUUUUUUUAAGUUAUCAUCAAUCAAGAUUCUGUUGGAUAUUUAUAAUUAAUUCAUCGUGCAUGGACUAUGCAGCGUAAUAGACUUAAUCGUUCGAAUCUCUCUUAUGGUCAUCUAACUUAGUUGUUGCUUUCUUGGGCAGUGAAACCCUACUGAUUAAUUUAAGGGACCCUUUAUAUUAAAUCUUUGAUUUUCAUACUUUUCUGCAAUAGUUUAUAUAUUUUUUUUUUAUCAUCAAAAUAUAUACUAAAAUAUAUAAUUGAUCAUAUCAUCUAGUUAUUUCAAUAUAGACUAAUAUUUAUACUUACCUUUUCAAUUUCUCAUCAGCUAGACCAUCAAGAUAUUUUUAAAUUUCAAAAGACUAAAAUAGACUGUCGAAUAUAUAAAUUAUGUCAACUUGUUAAACAUGUUCAUGGGAAUACACAAGAACUUAAAAAAAAAAAAAAUAGUAAUACUAAAUAUUCUCGUUGGAUUUAAGUCUCAUUCUUUUUUCUCUUCUUUUCUAAGCAUGAACAUUUUGGGAUGGACCGCCAUGAUUGCAAUUGGGAUGAACACAGCCGUAAGGUAAGAAACACAUGCCUUUCACACCUGCAUCACUCUUAACUUUAUUCUUUAACCUCUCCUUGAGGUAUAAGUUUGAGUAUAUCAAAACUUGAAAUGAUCACAAAACUGGUGCAGUGUGAGAGUGUCUAACGAGUUAGGAGCAAACCAUCCAAGAACCGCGAAGUUCUCACUACUAGUGGCAGUGAUAACAUCGACGCUGAUCGGAUUCGUUGUAUCGAUCGUUUUACUCAUCUUUAGAGAUCAAUAUCCAUCAUUAUUUGUGGGCGAUGAAGAAGUCAUCAUUCUUGUUAAAGAACUCACACCAAUACUUGCACUCUCCAUUGUCAUCAACAAUGUCCAACCUGUCUUAUCAGGUAGUCUAUCUAUUUAUCUCAAACCAUUACUUAAAUUUUACGUGAAAUCCAUCAAUUUAAGGCUUACUAAAUGCGAUGGCAAUAUGGUAAUAAACUGUAAAAUCAGGGGUGGCUGUGGGAGCUGGAUGGCAAGCAGUGGUAGCGUACGUUAACAUCGCAUGCUAUUACUUGUUUGGAAUCCCAUUUGGUUUAUUGUUAGGAUACAAACUCAACUUUGGUGUAAAGGUAAAACUGAUAUUAUGACUUUUCUCAUCUAAUUAAUUCCUUUGAAAACGUAAAGAAGUUUAGAACUUAAAGAGACCGAUGAUUCGGAAUCUUUGAUGUAUUAGGGAAUCUGGUGCGGGAUGUUGACGGGAACCGUGGUUCAGACAAUAGUCUUGACGUGGAUGAUCUGCAAAACAAAUUGGGACAAAGAGGUAUAAAGUCAACAACAUUAAAAAAAAAAAAAAAUCUAUACAUACUUGUUUCAAAAUAAAGCUAGCCUUUGAUGUUUCUAAUGCAAGGUAUAUGUGUUGGUUAUGUAGGCUGCAAUGGCUGAUGAUAGGAUAAGAGAAUGGGGCGGAGAAGUAUCCGAGAUAAAGCAACUCUUAAACUAAAAAGGCGUUACGUUCUAGACUUCUAGUAUUAAUAUCAGAGAAACUCAUUUCACCAUCUGUGUUUGCGUCACGAGCACUUUCUUUUUUUAGAAGAUAAAGUUAACUCUGUUUUAACCGUUUUUUGCGACAAUUCGAUAGAGAUGGCCGAUAUGCUACAUGAUUGUGAAACACUAGAAUUGAGUAAGACUAUCUCCAACACUACUGCAAAUUUCACUGCAAAAUAGAGUUUGGAGCAAGAUAAUCUCCAACCCUACUUCAAAUCUCACUCCAAAAUGGAGUAAAAAAUGGAGUUACUCUAUAUAUGGAGCAAAAACUAGAGUUUCUCCAUUUUUUUAGUCAUAACUCCAUUUUGGAAUAAAAAUGAAGCUUACAUUAGAGUAAAAUACGUACAACUUCAUUUUGGAGUUACUCUAAAAUAAAGAAAAAUAUGGAAACAUACAUUGGAGAUACUCUAAAAUAGAGAAAAAUAUGGAAACAUAUAUUGGAGAUGUACUACUGAUGAUAAAAAAAAAUUUUUUUACAAGUAUGGGAUGUUGUUGCUUUUCGGAGUGGUACGUACAUCUUAUAUCAUGAUUCAGGUCAGUAACACAACCCAAACCAAGUGUGGAAUCGUAAUAAGGCUUUAAAUCGGAAAUUAUAGUUCCUUGAAGUUAAUCGUUGAAGCAAGAUUAACUAAGUAUAUAUAUUUGUGUGUGUAACUUAUAAUUAAGCAAUGAUCAUAAGUCAAGUCCAAAAACAAGUAAGUAGGACUUUUUAUAGAGUUAAAAAUGGUAUAGAUUUAGAAGAAGUAGUUCUAAUACGUAAAUACACACAAGCUUAGCAUAAGACGUAAGAUUCAUUCCUCAAUUUAGAGGAGAAUUUAGUAGUUUGAAAAAGAAAAUAUACAACAGUAAAAACCACGAGAGUCUACAGGAAAAAUGCACGCUUGGCAUUGCUUGUUUAGCUUGCACUACUCUUACCUUGAAGACCCCAAAACUCUCUUCUCAUUUCCCUCAAAUUUUGUUCUUGGUAAAAACUUUUGUAAAUAACAAUCACUAUAUUACUACUAAAGCAAUACAGAAAAAGUGAUAUAUUAUAAUUUCUAGAUGUCAUAUACUUUAUAUAUAUACAAUGAGAUAUGAUUUCGUAUCCUUAAAAAUUUGUACAUGAAAUCGAUCAAAUUAUAAUUACAAGACAAGCGAGAGAGAGAAAUGAUACCAAACCAUAAAUUGAAAGGAAAUGAAAGCAUUUUUCCCUUUCUUUCACUUAUCUUUGUAGGAAAAGUGCUGCUCCAACUAAACCGAACCACAAUGUCAAAGCAAGCCAAAAGGCUUGGUUCUUCUCCAUCCCCACGGGUGGUCGCCAAACCAAGAGCUUUCCUAGAAAGUCUUGACUCGUGCCAAGCUGAUUCGUAGUCGAUUCAUUCAUUCGCCGCUCCUUAUCCCUAUCCUUGUCACUCCACGUCACUGCAUAGCUGUGCACAUAUAUAACACAAAAACCAUUUCAAGUGACGUUUGAUAUGCGUUAGCCACGGGGACAUAGCACAUAUAAGUCAAUCCAGGAAGCCUAAGUUCUUAACUCACCUGUCGUAACUUGAACCGAUCAUGGGUAUAGUAACCAUUUCCUCUUGAGAGAUCUUGAGCUUAGGUGCUUGCAAGAUAUACCUAAGUUCAGAGGCUUGACGACGAAUACCAGGACUCGGGUGUCUCUUCUCUAGUUGCUGAUAAAGAUCAAUGCAAUCAGCGUGGCGAUUAUUGGCCUCAUAUGCCAUAGCUAACCAAAUUUGAAUCUGGAAAAUCAAUCCCCCCCAGAGAUCAUUAGCAAAAUCAACUCCUUUUUUUUUCAAAAUUAGAAAAAAGUACCUAACUGGUGUUUUUUUUUCAAACCAACCUCACCACCAAAGAGUGUUGGCCUUGGGAUAAUGGUAAGAGCUCCUUCAAGAAACUCUAUUGCUCGUCCAUACAUUCCUUUACCAUAAGCCUUUUGACCCAAUUCAAACAUCAAUUCCGCAGUUGCUCUUCUCUCUGCUUGCUCCUGAGCUACCUGCUCUCACCAGUCUCUUCUAUGAGCACAUCACCAGCUCUUAAAAUUGCAUUUUUUUAAAAAAAAAAAAACUUCAACUUUCAUCCUCACAUGGCUUCCACUAAGAUAAACUAAACUAAUCCAUGACUGUUCAUUAUAUAUAUAAAAAACUCACAUUUCAGAAGCUUUUUCAACUUAAUACUAAUUUGAACUUUUGUCUCAGUAAUAUCAACAUUAAGGUGAGUGAGUGAGCAAUAAGAACCCUAAAAAGACGCACCUUUUCGAGCUCUCUUUUCACCCUCAUCCUCUUCUUCUCCUCGGAAUCUUCCCCUUCUUCCUCAACCUUAUACUGCAACUCCUCCGCUUUCCUCUCAAGCUCCAUCAUAUCCUGCAAUUCCUUUGCUCUCCUCUUCCUCUCCUUCUCCAAAUCGUAAGCUUUCUCCUCCUCAUCCGUCUCCAUUCCGUCACCACCACCACCACCGUCGCCGCCGCUUUCCUCGUCGCUGGAUCCCGCGUCGUCGAAAUCGACAGCGUUAGCCCUGGAAUUCGCCUUUCCGCGAGUCAAAAACCGGCGAAUCCGAGCAUCUCCGUCAGAUUCCAGAGGCUUAUUGGAGGAGAGAGCCGCGUAGUAGGCAUGACUGUGCGAAUCUCUCUUCUGACUCUGUAAAUUAAGAACGAUAUCAGCCACCGUCAAACGAAUUCUCCGAUCAGUAACCACCGCACGAUGAGAAUUAACGUCGAGCAACAACGCCACGUUUCCGAUAACCGCCGCCAUCGGAGCACAGAAUUGUAAACUGAGAGGAAGAAGUAGAACCAGAGAAGCAAAGAAGAUGAGAUAUCUCUCUUAAUUCGUGGUGACCAUUAAUGAAUUUAUUAAAAUACCCUCGUGAUUCCAAUUUGAAAUCGCUGAACUGAUGAUGCGUGUAAGGGUAGUUUCGUCAUUAAAGAAACUCAUCAUGUCAGUCUUUCUUCAGGACGCGUGUACGAAAAGCAAGAGAUGCGCGCGUCUCACGAAAACAACAUCACCACAGUUUCAUCGGAGAUUGACAUUUUUCCGACCAGGCAACAAACGACAAGACGUUUUUAAAGGAAUCAAACGACACCCACUCUAAUUCGAAUUUACUCGGACGACGAGACGAACAAUGAACUAGAAAGAAAGCUUUAAGCUUUUGAUCAUUUAUAUUCAUACAUACUUCACCGAUUGGUGAAAAAUCAGAUUUUUUUGAAUCGAAAGAUCAGAAUCAUUAGGAACAAUCUCCACAUAUAAUUUUAGUUUUUGAAUCCGAAUCAAUCAAGCCAAAUAGAAGAAGAUCAAUGUUCUUCGUUGAAAACCAGAGAUCCCAAAAAGAAGAAAAAAAAAACUGACAAGAAACUCACAACACAAAAGAUAAGAUCUUGGUGAAAACCCAAGUGUAGAUUACGGCGAGUGUAGCACCGACGGGAAUCGUGACUAGCCACGAAGCAACGAUCUCUUUCACAGUCUCUGCUCUCACGCUAUUAAGCCCUCUCGCGAAUCCAACACCCAUCACAGCUCCAACGAGCGUAUGAGUCGCCGAAAUCGGAAGCCCUAACUUGGAAGCAAACAGAACCACCGACGCGGCGGCGAAUUCCGCCGCGAACCCUCGAGUCGGUGUAAGCUCAGUGAUCUUCUUCCCAAUCGUAGCGAUCACUCUGUAUCCCCACAUCGUGAGACCCGCAACGAUCCCAAAUCCUCCCCAGGCGAGAACAUCCAUGGGAAUCACGAUUUCGCCGCCUCCUGCAGCUGCUCCUUUCUGGAGGAUACUCAAUGCGGCGGCUAAAGGUCCGAUCGCGUUCGAUACGUCGUUGCCUCCGUGAGCGAAGGACAUAAAGCAAGCGGAGAGGACUUGCAUGUAGCCAAAGAUUCCGUAGACUAUCUCGAGCUGAGUACCUGUAGGACCUGCGAUAUCGGAGAGGAAACCGAUGCUUUUGGGCUGGUUUUGAGAUGUUUCCGGUGAUUUCGUUUUGGCGAGGAGGUGACCGAGCUUAUUCCGGAUGAUUCUGUCGAAGACAAUGGCUCCUGCUGCUCCACAGGCUAAGGCUUGUGAUAUAGCUAUUGGAAACGUCUUGCUAAGAGGAAAUGCGGCUGAUGAAAUGCUGGCGAUACCGACGAACACAGCGACGGGAGCCGCUGCAGCAGCCGCUUGUCCUGGGUUUGGUGCACUGUAAACAAACUGCACAGGACAAAGAGAACAGUGUGCAAAUGUAAAGGAAGAUUAAGGAAGAGUUUGUGUAAUAUACAAAGUUUGAUUCUUUGGAUUGAUUUGAUUUUGGUUUUACUUACUCUCCUGAUGCAUUUGUAGACAAGGAAGGAGACAAGUGCUCCCAUUACAGGAGAGAUAACCCAAGAGGAAGCUACUUUAGCUAGAGAACUCCAAAAUACGGCACCAGCUCCUCCGUAGACAAGCCCAAACCCAACCAUUGAUCCUACGAUACAGUGAGUUGUUGAUACUGGCCAUCCAUAGUAAGAAGCCACCUGUGAAAUUCAUAAUUACACAAUCUUUUUCAGACACUGCAGUGCAGUUCAACUAAAGUUCUCUACUUGUAUCAUUUGCCAUUGCCAUCCUAAAAAGGUAUUAACUUUACUAAAUCUUCUCUUGAAAAUAGUGAGGAAGAGGCAAAAGAUAAGAUGGAACCUGUAACCAAGUUCCAGCUGCAGCCAAGGAAGAGAGGAGACCAGCAAAGAGCAACAUAUCUUUCCCUUGGAACACAUUAGCCAUGAGAAUCCCUUUCUGCAUCGUGCUCGUCACGUGAGUUCCCAUCAAAAGAGCCCCUGAGAAUUCAAGAACUGCAGCCGUCAUCACAGCUUGCCGGAUGGUAAGGGCUCCGGAUCCAACAGAAGUCCCCAUGGCAUUGGCCACAUCAUUAGCUCCGAUGUUCCACGCCAUGUAGAAACCGAAGAGUAGUGUCGCGUAAGAGAGGAGCUUGGUCUUGAGAGCCAGCCCUUGUCCCAGGGACUUCAUGAAGAGUGGAAAGGACAGAGCAGAGAAGGCGAUGGCUAUUGAGAUUGCCCUCGCUGUGUUGGAAGAAAUGUUAAAGGCUUGAGCCAUUCCAGAGAAGUCGCCGGUAGCCUCUGCAUUCCCUUUUCCAUCUGAUUCGGUCGAAUUGGUAGAUGAUUCGUUAGAAUUCUGUAUCUGUUGAUCGCCAUGGUGCUUCUCGUCUCCUUCAGAAUCCGCGUAAGAGGAGAAGCUGGCUAAAGGGCAGACGAGUUUCAGGGGAAGAGAAGUGUGUUUGUG